GGAGAGAAGGAGAUAGAGAGGGUAUAUAUUACCUUCAACAUAAUGGAAUCAGCCUGAGGAAUUGCUUCUAACAUGUCUCCUCCGACAUAUUUUAUGUUCUGAGAUUCUUCCAAGCCUGCAACAACAUGUGGCAGAUCAAAUACAAUGCACUUUACCUGUGGGAAGGACUCAACAAUAACCUUAGCCAUUGUCCCUGUUCCUCCUCCAACAUCAACCAAUGAUUCUAUUCCCUCGAACAAUCUCUUAUACUUCUCAAUCACCACAGUGGAAACCAAUCGACUGUCCAUAGCCAUGACUUCAUUGAAAAGGUUAUUGAAAUUAGGCUCACGUCCAGCAAAAUCCCAAAAUCCCAUACCAUUUUCCCUGUGAAACGGUGAAGGGGUUUCAUUUGUGAACCAGGUAGAGAAUUGAAACCAUGGAUUGAUCAUAACUGGAUUAAAUAUUAAUCGCGUCACAGAUUUCAUACUAAAGGGAUGGUCCUUUAGGAGUAACAUAGAUGCAUCAGUUAUGAGAUACAUGACAUCAGGCUGAUUUGGGUUGGCAUGGUGUUCAGAGAAGAAACCAGAAUGAGUCAAAAUUUUCAUCAAGCGGGUGAUAAAGGAAGUCUUGGAUGGGUGGAGUGGUAAUGAAGCAAUGAGUUGUGAGAGUGGCAUAGGUUGGCCAUAGUUGUGUAUGAUAUCUGGUAUGCUUAACUCAAUAGCACACUUAAGAGACAGAGAAUUUAUGAAUUUAAAAAUAUGAUUCCAAACAUGAUUUUGAGCUCGAAGCAAUUUUGAAGCAUGCUCUUCACCCUCGGUUUCCAUAUAUAAUUUGGCAAGUUUGUGUGGGUUUGUGUGGUAUUAAAUCUCGUAUUUACUCGAUGUAUUUAUAAUGACAAAAAGGUGUGCAACAUAAUAUCUUGGUGCUUUAUUUCUAACUUUAAGAAAAAUUAUAUUUUCAUAACCACUUUCGCUUCCAAUAGUUAUUAGAUUAGAUUACUGAUCUUAUUAUAAUUAAAUAAUAAUAAAUAUAAAUGAAAUCUUAACAUAAAAUAAUAAUAUGCUUAAUUGCAUAAUGACAAAUAUUAUGAAUAUUUGAAGAAAUGAUUUGUUGUUUACAGUGACUGUUUUAGAUAUGCAUAUAUUACAAAGAAAAGCUAAAAUAGAUGGCGAAACCACAUAUAAGAACAAAAUAAAAUAUCUCCCCUUUCCAUACCAAACUUCCUUUUGAAACAUGUCAUUUAUGAAUUAUAAAUUUUAUGGUUUUACGUUACGAAAGGUGUGCUACAUAAAUAUAUCUAUAUGCUUUCUUGCUGCUAAUAGUAACUUGAAUAAAAAUUAUAUUUUCAUAACCACUUUUCCUUUAAAUAUUUAUUACGUAAUUUAUUUUUUAUUUAAUAACAAUGAAUAUAAAUGAAAUUUUAAAAUAAUAAUAAUAAUAAUGAAAAUCAUUAUGAUAACUAUAGUAUGUGGUUCACACUCAUUCUAAUAGAUAAGCAUUGGAUAAGGGAAAGCUAAAGAUGGAUGGUUACAAAAGACUUGGCACACAUAAGAGCAAAAAAAAUCCUGUCCUCUCUUUCAUGGUGACAAAUAAGGUCAUUUUAGUAGAUAUUUUAAUAGAUAAUGUUUGAUCAUGUUCCAAUUUUGGCAAGGCGUUCAAUGGGAUCUUGUUCUAGGAAAUUAACAGGAUGUGGUACCUUUACAUGUGUUGAGACUGACAUGACCAAAUGUCACUACUACAUAAUUAAUCAUAGAUAGCACUAGUAAAAAACGAGACUAAUAACACGCUCAUUAUGUUUUGGUUGGUCAGAAACCGAAACACAAAAUAGGACAGUGGCAUUUUUGAAAUUAUUGGAAAAAUAUGUCUCGAUUCUAUCUUAACCGAAUCCAUAAAGCAUCUACAAUGUCGGUUACAAGGACAACCGAGGCCAUAAAACCCAAAAAAGUUGUCAAGAAAAGACUUUUCAGAUGACAAAUAUCUUUGUGCAGGGUUUUUGGCUUCGGUUAUCCUUAGAACCGAGGCCAAAAUCCCCUGCUCCAAUUGAGAAUCCUACUUGCAGUAUGAAAAAUAUCUCUGUGUAGGGCUUUUGGCCUUAGUUACUCUCAGAACUGAGGCCAAAACCCCUAUGCUCCACUGACAUUCCCGCUCUGUACUCUGACGUUUGAACUGACAAACUUUUUGAAAGGGGGUUAUGGCCUUGGUUCCCUACAGAACAGAGGUCAUAUCCUCCUCUCAUUAAGUCAAACAGUUGUAACGUUUAGAUUUUCACAAAAGGAAAUUAAUUUUGUGCAGGAGUUUUGGUCGUGGUUCUCUUUGGAACCGAGGUAAAAGGGUUCAUUAAAUUUACAAAAAUGUCAUUUAAUGUAAUUUUUUAAUUUUUUUUCUGGGCACUUUAGGCCUCGGUUCUUACAGAAUCGAGGUGGUAGAGGCUUUUUGCCUUGGUUAAAAAAAUAACCGAGGUAAUAAGAUGCGCUUAGGUUUAAAUUUUGUAAACAGAUCCUCUUUAGAUAAAAAGUCUUCGUUUCAGUGUAAAUUGUGUCGCUGCUCUCUCUCGCCCUUAGGGUUCUCUUCGCCAUUGUUUUGUUCUCUUCUUCACUCCUCUGUCGUGGCUUCACAAGAAAGGGAAAGCACCCAUCUUCAUCUUUUUCUUUUCUUCUUGUUUCGUUUCGCCUCACAAUGAGGGAGACACGGACUUCCUUUCUCCAACUCUAGUUCGUGUUUCUCAUGGAGGGAAGACUCCCUUUCACUUCUCAGUGUUGGUUCAUUUUUUCAGGAAGGGAAGUGACUUUGACAGCUUAGGCGCAUAUUUAUUUCUCACGAUGUGGUAGCAGUGGCGCCUCCACAAGGGUUCAUGUUUUGGUGUCAUCGUGGGGAAGGGAAAUCGCGUCUGACUCCAGCAUAAAGUUUAGGGUUCCUGACCUCGUACCGAUUCGGGAUUUUUUUUAAACUGAUUCCUACGUUUUGAGGCUAGGGUUUUGGAUUACGAUUUGGAAAUUUGGGGUUUCUAUACAUGCAAAAUUUUCUUGUAAUUAGGGUUUUAAUUGUUCUCUAGUUUUUGGAAUUUUUGUUCGAGUUGUUUUUUUUUUUAAAUUUGAUAUAAGAGCACGUUAUUUAAAAAGAAAAUAUAGGAAACCUUGGGGAUAUUACCUCGGUUCUAGCCUAAACCGCUGCUAUAGCCCCAUGUUAUUAUCUUGGGUGUAGAAGAACAAAAGCGGAAACCUUGGGGAUAUUACCUCUGUUGGAACCGAGGCCAAAAGUCCCCACCUUUUUACCUCGCCAGUAUAUGCCUCGGUUUGAAAACCGAAGCGUAUUGUCAAAAACACCUAAUAGAUAAUGUUUUUUUAAAUAAAUGUUAUCCAUGAAUGUGGAGAACAAUAGAUAGUGCUUUUUUAAAAAAUCGCUAUCUAUACUUAUAACGAUAGCGCUUAUUUAAAAAAAUGUUAUCUAUUAUAACAAAAUAGAUAGUGUGUUUUUAAAAAAGUAUUUUGAAAAGAGGUUUUUAGUCCCCCUUUGUAUGCAUGUUUUAAGUUUCUCGUUCGAGCAUCUUUUUACUCUCAUAUUUUUCAAAACUUUUGUCCAUUUUCUUAAAUUUUCAAUUUCACUUAAUGUUCAAAUUCGUCAAACCUGUUGUUCCAAAUUUCACAUCCGAUUUCCCCCAAAUUUUACUUCAUGCUUCUCCCCAUAUUUCACUUUGCAUUCAUCCCAAACCUGCUGCAUUCAUCAAACUUGAUAGUUCUUAGUGGAACAAGUCGUUGUUGCAUUGUCUUCUCCGCCAUUGCUCAUCGGCCAAGGUUCAUCAAGUGCGGUCACGACUAAGGGUUUAGGAAACCAGUGUGCAAGCCUUGCCUAUUUCAAGAAACCAGUGCACUCAUGGCUAGUUUAACGUUUCGCCAUUAAAGCUAGGCGUUCUGGUGAGAGAAGUGAUGGUGUUGUUGAAGGCAUUGUGUUGUCGUGUUCGAAGGAGUCAAUCCUUGGUAAUGGCGGUUUGGGAACGACCAUCUGAGGGUGUCGAAACCUUGGUAGUGGCAUUGUGGGAACCUUCAUUUGACCAAAAGUAUUCUUGUAAAGUGAACCAUUGGUCACUGUCACCUUAAGGGUGAUCAUAAGGUAUGUAGUUGAUGGCAUACCCCUAGCUAUGACCUAACACAUUCAUAAAGACUUGUAGACAUUUAUGGAAGAUGGGCCUAGACUCUUUCUCUUGGGCAAUCCUAAACCAUAAUGAAGAUUUAGUAGAGUAAGAAUAAGUUUGGCCUUGUAUUUGGACCAAGUAGUCUAGAUUUUAUUUGAGCUUUGUAUUAUGGACCUAGUAGUUUAGGAUUUCAAUUGUGCCUUAAAAUAGGAUUCUAACCAAACAAGUCAACAAAGGGGUGUUGACUAUGCUUGGGUGUCCAAAAUGGGUGUGUUGACGAAGGGGUCAACAUUUUGGCUAAGUUGGGCAACAAGAGAGAAGAAUUUCAUCCUAGACAUGUGGAAGCUUCCCAUUGGAGAGUUUUCCUCCUAGUUAGCGACCAUGUGUCACUCUAGGAAUGAAGAGUUUUUCCAUAGGUAGUGGCCACUUGUCACUCUAUCAUUUGAAAGGAUAUAUGCCACUUGUCUCCUUCCUAUUGGAGUGGAUUUCUCCUUGCUCUCCAAGCCAACCAAGUUGGCUCUUUUAGGUUAAAGUUUUAGCCUAUUUUGAGACACCUUAGCCUAUAAAUAAAGGUGCUCUCCAUCUUGUAAUCACCUUUGUUUUAUAAUAAAGUUAUGUUGUCAUUUUUGUGUCAUAUUACUCUCUUAAGCUCACCCUAGGCUAGAGUAACCCAAGUGGCCUCCUUUAGCCACCUUCCUCCAAAUUUUGGUCCAACCUCUCUUAGAGAAUCCUUAAACACAUCUUCCAUCACCAUAUAUUACUCUAAAAUCGUAACCCAUUCAACAUUCCACACCACCACAAAUUCUACACAUCAUUGUCUCCAUGAACAUGGCUUGGUUGCUUCUAGAUUUGGUUCAUUGUUAAGACUCCAGCAAGUGUACCGAAUCGUAUCAAGUAAUAAUAAAUGGUAAGACCAAGUAUCGUUUCCCUAGAGACUCAUAGGCCUAGACUUUCGUGUGAUUUGUUGAUUAUAAUAAGACUUGAAUAACGAAAAUUGGUGUUUAAAAUGCAAAAACGAAAAUUAAAUAUGCACAUGCAAAAUUUGAUCAAUUGACAGUUGAACGAUAUGGAUGAAUGGUGUUGUUGGGGUUUCCAACUUAUCCUAAUCCACUCUCAUAUAUUUACGAAUUCUACUUUUUCAUUAAUGGUAAUGUCACUUUCUAAUUUACCCUAAUCCCAAUGUCUUGGUGAAAAGAACCUACUCCUAAUUACUAGUUUACAAUGUCUUGUCUCCCUAGCCAUUGUUCAUGCAUUAAAUUCGCACAAAAGCUUAAAGGCAAUGAUCCUCCUAUCCCUAUGUUUAGGUAAUAUUGCUCCCAAGAGAAUUCCCUCAUGUCUAGAUCUACCCACAUGUGUCCAUAUAGAUAAAAUCAAAGAUUAUGCUAUUGAAUAAUGUCUUAAACAAAGCAUGCAAAGAUAAUGGAGGAAAAACUCUAACAAUUAAAAAAAGAAAGCAUAUGAAUAAAGCAUCAAUUCAAUAUAUGAGAGUUUCAAUAGGAUUACAUCGUUUCCUCAACUACAAUGGAGGUUUAAUUCACCAUGGACAUGGUGAAACUAGAUGAAAACAAUGAAUAGAAUGAAAAGAUAAACCCUAGAUUUGAUAAAUUGAAACUCCCGCAACCAAAAUUGGCCUCCAAGGGGUGAGAAGUGUUUUUCUGCGUCUCUUCUCCCAAAAGAUAAACCAUCUAGGUCGUCCAGAUCUAUUUAUAAUUCAUUAAAAAUCAGCAGAACUGGCCCAAGCCCAAACGUACAGUGCUCAGCGCUAGGUCACCGCUCAGCGCUAGGUCACCGCUCAGCGGUAGGUGUGAAACUAGAGAAGAACGCUCAGCGUUGUCGCCCAGGCUUCUGGCAGAGAAUUCACCAAGAUAGUGGCGCCGAGUGGUGUUGCUCAGCAGUUGCUGCGACACUGAAUUUCCCCUUAGCGUUGACGCAUAAGCAUUGGCCAGAGAAGUCCUUCAAGAGGCUGGCCCUUAGCGGUACUAUGACGCUCAACAGUGCCUGCGAUUCUUCUUUUAAUCACUUUUCCUUCUUCUCUUGCCUUCAACUCCUUCCUACUUCAUCUUCCUUCAUUUAAUUCAUGUUAAAUCCUGCCAAAACAAGAGAAACCAAGCAUAAAACCAAGAAAACCACCUUUGACUCUCUUAUUCUCUAACUUAAGCAACAUGCAUGAUUUCAAGCUAGUUUCUAAGUCAUAAAGGAUGUGUUUUGUAUCAAAUUUAAGUAUAAAAAUAGCGGUUUUUGAACCGAUAUCACAACCCCAAACUUAGAACUUUGCUUGUCCUCAAGCAAACAAAAUAUAGUCUUCCACCAGUCAUCACAAUGGUUCAAUCACAUUCAAAACUCUUUUCUUUCAAGACAAGUAAUAACUCAAAUUUGCUCAUCAAUAGAAUUUAGUCAAGAUGCACACAUGCCUUGAUUCUCAAUGCUUAUCAUGGUGUUCACACAAUCCUCAAAUAUCCAAUAGAUGUUAUUCUCAUGAAUGAUCAAUUAGCUAAGCACAGAUAUAAUCAUAGAUUCAUGGAAUCAUUCCUCACCAAACAAGGUGUUUCACUCAAUCGCUCAAGUGUUUCAAGGUCACUCCUUCCCUCUACUAUCCACAUGUCACAUAGAACAAAAUUGCCUUUCAUUUACCAUAAUCAAUCAUCAUUACACCCACAUGUCAUCACAAGGACUUUUACAAGGCUUAUAAUGUGGUUGGGCUAACAAGAAAAAUUAGUUUUUCUUAGAUCACAAAAUCCUUGAGUUAGGAGAGUAAUUCAAAUAUUCAUAGUUCAAGCACAAACUCUCAUUUUACCAAUCUCACUCAUUCCCAACUUUCCCUUUUCUUGCAUUGAGGUUUUCUUUUCAUUUUAUCUUUUCUAUCUUUUUCAUCUUUUUCAUGCUUUGCUCAACACAUUAGCUUAAUACUUAUCUUUCUUUCAAUUUCCCCAACAACCCCAAAUUUGAACCUAGAGCUGUCAAAACGGGUAACCCGGCUCGACUCGGCACGGCCCAUCACGGGUUGGUCACUUAGUGAGCCAACCCAACCCGACUUAUUUAUUAGCAAGCCAAAAAACUUCGAACCCAGCUCGACCCGCCACGGGUUGAUGGGUAAACAGGUUGGUUCACUAGCCCACUUAAUUACAAUUUUUCUACAUAAAAAAAUUACAAACUUUCUAUAAUUCAAAUCUAAACAAAUUUCACUCCCAACAUGGAUGUUUAAUUAAUUUUGAACAUAUGGACCUUAAAUAAUUUUUUCAAGCAAAAAAAAUAUAAUAAAUAUUUUUCUAUAAAAUUAAAAUUAAAUUUUAAUAGAAUAAAAUUAGGUAGGUGGGUUGGUGGGCUAACCUGGCCCACCACAGGAUCAACUUGCAUGAGCAGGGUUUAAAUGAAUCGGGUUGAAAUCUGACCCGCAUAAAAAAAUACAAUGUUUUCAAACUCAACCCGGCCCGAACCCGUGAUGGACCAAGUUGGCCCGCGGGUUGAGACCCAUUUUGACAACUCUACUUGAACCUUAAUCAAUACCACACAAUAAUUCUCAACUUAACUCAAGGUAAAGAUUUUUCAAAAGGGAUUUCACAUACUGUCUAAGGCUUAGGUUCAAAAAGGAUAGAACACAUGGUUCUUGUAUGGGACGAAAUUUUUGCAUUGGCUAAGGGCUUGUUCAAAAACGGCCUUGAUCAUAUGGCAAAUACAUGCAAUUCAAUCAAUCAUAGAAAACUGGACAUAAUUUAAGUAUAUAUAAAGAUAGGGAAGAUAAAAGGAAUUGAAUAUUUUCUUUCCUUUUUGUUUUUAUUUUUCAAAUUUCAAAAUGAUUUUCCGUCUCUUCAUCAUAUGAAAAAGAUUUGUAAUCUUAUUAACAUCACUUUCUAAGUUAUGUCAUGAGUGUGCAGUUUUAGAGUAGUUUUUGUUCGUUGCACUUCAACUGUACUUUUGUUGUCCUUUGUCAAUUUUUUUUUCAAACAAUAGAUUCAAUGAAUACAAUUGUACUUCUGAUUGAUGACUUGUUUUGAUUUUAAAUUGUAUAUAUCGGUGAAUUGUAUAAUGCAUGAAUCUACUUAUUGAGGCAUUAAAUUGGUUAAUUAAAGCUUCUUGAAUAUAAUAGAGUUAAACUAUGCCCAAUAAGAAAAAAAAAAGUUAAUUAGCGACUCAAUUGUUGAAUCUUAUUGGCAUAGAAGCUUUGUGAUAGCGGUGAACUAUAUCUCAAUACACUAGUGGAAAAACGCUGUUUAACGUCGGUUAUUUUGGGCUUUUAACGUCAGAUCCCGAACCGACGUCUAUUCGAGUGACGUUAAAUGAGACGUCAGACCCUAUAGGUCAGACGUCUAUAUAGACGUCGGACUAUAUAGGUCAGACGUCUAUAUAGAUGUCGGACUCUAUAGAUCAGACGUCUAAAAUGUCGUCGUAUUUGAUAGGAUCUUUCUCCGCUUGAGGCCUCUCGAGUUGCUCCUAAGUCAUGGUGAUUCGAGUUUACAACUUUAUAUUUUAGUUGAAGAGAAUGGAUUCUAUGUUCUUAUUUUGUAUUGGACAGUUUUGAUAAUGUAGUGGAGGGAAUUGGAGGAGUGCAAAACGCAAGAAAUCGCCGUCCAUGAACGCUACCUAAGGACAUGAGCAAAACUGCACAAAAAACUCAAUGAAAACGCAUUUUAAUCGGUUCAAAUGAAAAAUAAUUCCUCAAAGAGUAAUGAAAUCAGAGUAAAAUUAAUUUUAAAUGGUGCAAAAGUGAGAAAAUGAACUUGAAAAACGUAGCAUGUGUAGAGAAAACGCGAGGAAGAUGAUAAACAAUGUGUGCGCGUAACUACUGCCUUGUGUUCGUAGUGUUUUAAUGCAGACAUUUAGACGUCGGUUCCCCUUACAACAGACGUCUAAAGUGCUUUUGAAGUCGGAGUGAUGGGAUCAGACGUCUAAAUGGAGUCAAAAAGUGACUUUUUAAAUUUCUGGGUUUAGAAUUUAGACGUCGGUUCCUAGAAUAACAGACAUCUAAACUACUUUAGAAGUCGGAGUGGUGGGAUUACACGUCUAAAUGGAGUCAAAAAGUGACUUUUUAAAUUUCUGGAUUUAGGGUUUAGACGUCGGUUCCCCCAAUAACAUACGUCUAUAAUAUUUUAGACGUCGGGGCUCUCCCAACUGAUGUCUAUAUGUCUGACAGGUAGGUGAAUAGCCAUUAAUUUCCGCCAUAUAGAUCUCGGGGCCCCUCUUAACUGACGUCUAUAUGACUGAAAGAAAUAACUUUUCACCCACCUGUCAGACAUAUAGACGUCAGUUAGGAGGGCCCUCGACGUCGGGUUCGUUGCCCGGGCGACUAGCGUCGAUUUCCAGCUCGUUGAUUUUCGCUCCUGUUGCCUGGGCAUCGAGUUUUCUCCCUCCUUGGUUCCUUUUUGACCCCUUUUGAGCUCCUUCUUCAUGGCUUUUCACUUCUUCUUCCAGUAUUGCUUCAAUCUCUGUCAAAAAAAAGGGGAAUUUGUUAGAAAACUGUUAAAAUCAACCUCAACUCUCUUAUUCACACAAUUUACUGAAAACACAUUAGUUCAAGGAAGUUUCUAAGUGAAAAAGGGUGCUUUUAGUAUCAAAAUCUCAUAGCAAAUAACGGUGUUUUAAUUCGUUAUCAACUUAUGCAAAAUCAUAGUCAAUUGUCUAACCAUGCAGGUCAAAGCAAAAAGAAGAGCUUCAGUACAUACACUCUCAGUGCUAUGAAUGUGGAAAGGAAGGUCACAUCAAGCAGAAAAGCAAGAAAAGAUUCCCUCAAGGCAAAAAUCCCAAAAGGAAAGGAGCUUACAUUGCUUGGGAGAACUCAGAUUCAGAAAGCUCAAGUGAUGAAGACUCUGAUCAAGUGGAGGAAUCAAAUAUGUGUUACAUGACAAGAGUAACAUGGGACGACUAUGACAGUGAUGCAGACAUAUCAAAUGAACCAGUGGAAAUCAAGUAUGAUUUGCUACAAGAUGCAUUCAAAGAACUGCAUGCUGAAGCUAUGUGACUGCAAUAUAAAGUAAAUCGACUAAGCUCUGAAAGAAGAGACUUUGAGAAUAGAAUUAACAACCUUGUUGUAGAAAAUGAGAAACUGGAAGAAGAAUUAUAUGAAGCUUUGUUAUAUGCUAAGAAUGUUGAAACUAUUACAGAAGAAAAAGAUUGUGAAAAUUGUCCGGCUCAUAUUGAAAAGAUAAGUUACUUGACUAGCACGCUAGCUAAGUUUACUCAAGGUAGAGACAAUUUAGAUGUUGUUUUAAAAUCAUUUGGCAGAGCUAUUAAGAAAUUAGGAAUUAGUUACAAAGCUCAAUCUAACAGAACCAAUGCUAGGAAAUUUACUGAUUUAAGUAAACUUGCUAGAAAUGCAUGUUUCUAUUGUAAUUGUGUUGGUCAUACUGUUAGAAAUUGUUAUUACAGAAAUAUUGUUGUUCCUAAAGGAUUUUGUGUUUGGAUACCAAAGGAACAUGUAACAUUAAAAAUCUUGAGAAUCUAAAACUGGUAGAACUGUAUAUAUCUACUACAUCAUGCUUAUAUUGAUUGAUUGUUGUUGUAUGAUUGUUUGUGUUGUAUGCUUGAUUGAUUGAUUGGUUGAAUUGUUUGGAAAUGAUUUUCAUAAUUCUUAGUUUACUUCCAUUUUAAUAAAUUCGACUAUGGUCUGCAAGUGUUUUAUAUUUCUGAUUUUUAAGACUGUUAGAAUUUAAACUUGGGGUUUAAUGAUAACCUUUGACGCGUUUUUCUUCUAUAUAAGGGUGUAAAAGUCUUAUGCACUCACCACUGUGUUAAACAAAACCCUUAUUCUGAUUCUGGUGAAACCUUUUCCUCAUUCUGCUCAAAUGGCUGCCUCUUCAUCAAGACCUGGGAAGCGACCUAUGUCAGCAAGAAGAGAGGCUGAUCCCUUUGGAUAGAUAAGUGAUGAUAAAACCAGAGAAAGAUUUCUCAUAAUGCGACCACUCAAAGAAGUAAUCAGACAUCAAAUGACUAAACUGACAUUGUUUGAACAAGAGCAAUUUAUGUUUCCUGAUGAUCUCAAAUUAGAUUUUUAUAUGGUACUUCCGAAAAGUUUUAACAUUAAUUUAAUAAAAAAAUCACAUUAAAUCUUUUUACAAAAAUAAAAAGUUAACUAAAUAAAAAUAAAUAUAAAAAUUAAAAUAAAUAGAAUAAUUAAAUAUAAAAAAAAUUAAUUACUAAUUAAUUACAAACUAUAUAAACAUUAGACUUACUACUUUAGAUUUUGGAACCGACAAAUAAAUUUUAAGUGGUGAAAGAAGAAACGUUGACUUUUAUAAAUGGUAAGGUAAAGGUUUGUUUGGUAGGUAAUGGUUUAUUUAGUUGUAUUUGAUAUUAUCCUAAAAUGGUAAGGUGUUUGCGACCUGAAAUUGGGUGGACCUGUCACAUAUUAUGACAAGUUUGGGACAAGAUGUGUUAAACUGUGACAAUAAGAGUUAAAUUGACGAAAUACAAAAUUUGUUAAACUGAGCUAGAUUUUUUUAAUUUUGUUGAAUUUGUCGCAUUGGUUUGCUUUUAAUAACGAAACCUAGAUAAUAGAUAUUGUUGCUCUUAAAAUCUAAGUAUGCCUAGUAGUUAGACAUCAUUAAUAGAAAUUGGUUAAUAAUAGUGCAGUACAGGGAAACGACCACGGUUGUUUUUCCCUAUACGUCGCGGUUUAUGAACCGCGACAUAUAUAAGUGCGGUAAAAAGUCUGUGACUAUAGGCUGCGGUGGCAACCGCGGUCAAAAGGUCUGGGAAUAGACCGUGGUUACACAAGGUCUCCUGCAGUUUUUUAAAAUAGCAGGUUUGUUUUUGUGAUAUCCACUACCACAAAAACAGAGUUGCAUAUGAAAUACAUGUUCAAAUUCAAUUUCAACACAUCAAACAGAUGUUCAAAUGUAUUUUAACAUCAAAUAAAGUACAAAGUCUAAUAAAAUACAAUCUAAUCAAAUGUAAUGUUUAAAUCUAGAAACUAAGAACUAUUAUAUAAUCUAACUAUAUACUUUGCAACAACUUUCCUUAUGAAUGAUAGUGGCUUCUUAGGAACUAGUGUAGUAGUCUUGAACCUCUACACAAGACAAUUGAUAUUAAUAGUGUAUAUGAAUUCUAAAUUUUGGAAAAAAUCAAAAUUUGAUAAAGUUAAAUAUUAUCGUUUCCCAGCCUCUUGUGAUAUGAGAAUGAAUAAUAUGGGUCAUCCAAUACAUUACAUAGUAUCCGCACUCAUAUGACUCACUUUGUCUGUUACAUUACAAUAUAUCAUCACAGUUGUAUAGUCAGUGAAAAACAUUAAAACAAAACAACUAUAAGAAAGUAUGGCUUUAGCAUAUGUCAAACCUUGAGAGAAAUCCAUGCAAUCUUUCUAGUGUUUGUAAUUGAUCUCCCAACCAUCAUCAUACUUGUUGGAAUAGAACUAUAUAUAAAAAAAAAGUUUUAGCAUUCAUUUAUAUAAAAAAAGAAAGUCUGAACAUCGAGGUUCUUACCAAUCAACUAGUUGUCUGAGAUUUGUGGGAGGAGGCCUGUGCAAUGAGCAGAACCAUAAAGCAUAACUCUCGUGCAUAGAAAUAACAAGAAGCUGCCAAUGGCACCUAAAAUUCAUAAUAACUUAACUAUUAUAUUUUAAAAUCACAUAUGGAACUUUAUUAUGUUAACAAAGUUCACUUACCCAGAUAUAUAAGGCAAAAAAUAUAUUUUCUUGCCGCUUGCAAAAUUUCUUAUGAGAUUUGUGUUGAUGUGAUCAAAAUCAUUUGAUUCGUGAAUGGAUUGGGAAUCAAUGAAUCCAUAAUCAUCAGAGUGCCCCAACUUGUUACUGGUCCCACACAAAUACCUGAAAUCAAAAGUUAACUUUGAUAUAAGGAUACUUGAUAUGCAAAUCAAUUUUAUAUAUAAAUAAUUGCUCAUAGACUUACAUAAUCCAUAGCUGAAUAAUUAUAAUAUUCAACUCUUGUGUUCUCGAAGCAAGCUCUCUGACAUCUGAGCCAUGAAGGUAUAAUGGGACCUUAGAGACUCUCCCAAAUACAUUAGAAUCAUAUUCAACCUCCAAAGGCUUAUCUUCAAGGAUGUCAGCAAGUAGCUGCAAUGAACCAAGAGGAUCAUCCUCAGUUCUUCGUUGUAUACAUAUGAAGGCUGACGAGAAGAGCUCCCAAAAUAAUCUCGAAUUCCUACUCCAGGACCAGCAACACGUACACGUCCAGGGUGCUCAGGUCGUCCAAUCACAACUGUAAGAAUAUCUUGGCAACCCUCUGGAGUGAAUUGACCUUGGGAGCUCUGCUCAACCAAGGAGUCCUGUAACAUUACAAAACACCAUUAUUGUUUAAAAAGUUCAAUGUAGUAUGUAUAAUGAAAUUAUUAUUAUUUUAGGAACAGUGAUAACUUAUAAUUCUUUCAGAAAUUUCCCGUGCAGUGUUAGAAGAGUAGGUGCCCGAUGGUCUCAUACGAGCCAACUUCCAUUUUUCAUGUCUAGAAGGUGGAGAAGGAGGCUAGGGGGGCUACCACCCUGAGAUGGUGGUUUAGCAUCUUCCUUUUGCUUGAGAAUUUUCUCCUCAAGCUUCCUAUACCCACCACGAGAUAAUAGGUGGGGGUUUUUGUUAUGAGAACUUGUUCCUUGUGCUUUGCUUUUAAUUGCCUGUCACAUAUGUUUAAUUAAUUAGUUCAUAUGAUAUAUAUUUGUUAAUGAGGAAUUGAAUAAUAUCAUACUAACCUUCCAUUCCUUUGUCGUCUGACUCUCUAUAAAGAGCCACAAAGUCUCCUCAUAAAUGGACUUAUAUGUACUACAUGGAGACUUAUUUUUAUGAUUUCCAAAGAUAUAUCUUGAUGUCAACUUACUUUUAAAGUUUCUGAAGUUUUCAGCAACAGUUGACAAACACUUAUUUCUAAGUGUUGCGACAUUUGGAAUGUCAAAUGUUAGCUGAAAUAAACAUAAUAAAGUUGUAUCAGUACAAAAUUAUCAAUAUAAACAAACUGUAAUUCAAAUGAAAUUAACUAACUUACCAAUAUAUCAUUCCAUAUAAUGUUCCGAUCAACCUCAGACACAUGGUCAAAAGAUGGAGUCAGAAUACUAAUUCUGUCACGUGCCACACCCGUGAUCAUGUUCACAUUCACUAAAGUUCUUUCACCACUAUUCUUUCUAAUCAAAAGUUGUUUCAUCCUGGUGGGAACUCUAGUGGAUCUGGUAGGGGGAGCCUCAUCCCCCGAAGAAUGUGGAUGAUCAGCCAUAUAUCUGUCAAAACUAAUAGCAACAUGAAAUAUUAAUAAAAGACUUAUGUAAUAUCAUAUAAUUUAACAAAACAUGUAAUAAUAAUCAUAAGAAAUAUAUAAAAGGAAAACUUAUGUGAUAUUAAUAAAAUACUUAUACAAAAAUUUGAAAUUCAUACGUAAAGAUAUGGAUUCAUCAUAUGUAUAUUCCCUCAUCAUUAUCUGACCGAAUUGCAUGUACAUCGUCGUCAACUAGAGAUUGAUCAUCCAAAUUUGUUGUAAUUUGAAAUGAGUAAUGAUUUCUCACCUCCUCACUUUAAUUUUAUUUGCAUUAUAGUUGUUUUAUGAAGAGCUGUCUUAGUUUAUGAUUGGAAUUCUUCUGUUCUUUCAAUAAGAAAAACUUUUUCACGGUGAAAAUAUUUCCAAAUUCUUACUAUUAUCUAAACGUUCAUCAUUCAUCAAGACAUAUUUUUCUUUAUUUUUAAUUGGUUGCCGAAUUAAGAUAUAUUACAUUUUUAUAAGAAAAUUAAUAAUAAAAAAUUGCCACAAAUAAAUUUAUUCCUUAAACUAAUUAAAGAUAGUUGGUGCUUAAGCGUCAUUUUUAAUGGAAAUAAUAAUGAAGAAAUUGUUUUCUUUAAGUAACCUUAAAAUGACUUACUAGUGUAGCGAUGGGAAUAUACCGCGGUUAUUUUUCACUAUACGUCGCGGUUUAUGAAUCGCGGCAUAUUCAGCUGCGGUAGUAAGUUAGAGACUUUAGGUCGCGGUUACAACCGCGGUAAAAAGAUUAGGGAAUAUACUGCGAUUGUAGUAUGAACCGCGGCCCAAACCCUUUUCUUUUUUUUUAAAAAAAAGUUCCAGUAUAGGUCGCAGUUAGACCCGCGGUAAUAAAGCCAGGAAUAUAGACCGCGGUUCUUGGUCUUUUAAAAAAAAUAAAAAAACGAACAUUUUCUACCGCGGUUGUGGUAACAACCGCGACAUAUUCCCCUGCAGUUUGUUAAAAUAAUAGGUCUGUUUUUGUGAUAUCUACUACCAAAAAAACAGACAUGCAUAUCAAAUACAUGUUCAAAUUCAUUUUCAACAGAACAAACACAUGUUGAAAUGUAUUUUAACAUCAAAUAAAGUACAAAGUCUAAUAAAAUACAAUCUAAUCAAAUGCAAUGUGUAAAUCUAGUAACUAAGAUCUAUUGUAUAAGCUAACUAUAUACUUUGCAGUAGCGUUCCUCAUGAAUGAUAGUCGCUUUUCAGGAACUGGUGUAGUAGUCAUGAACCUCUGCACAAGACAAUUCAUAUUAAUUAAUGUAUAUAUGAAUUCUAAAUUUGGGAAAAAAUCAAAAUUUGUUAAAGUUAAUAUUACCGUUUCCUAGCCUCUUGUGAUGUGAGAACGAACAAUAUGGGCCAUCCAAUACAUUACAUAGUAUACGCACUUGUAUGACCCAAUUUGUCUGUUACACUACAAUAUAUCAUCACAGUUGAUAAUAGUUAGUGAAUAACAUUAAAAUAAAACAACUAUAAGAAAGUAUGGCUUUAGCAUAUGUCAAACCUUGGGAGAAAUCCAAGUAAUCUUUCUACUAUUAGCAAUUGAUCUCCCAACCAUCAUCAUACUUGUUGGAAUAGAACUAUAUAUAAAAAAAGGUUUUAGCAUUCAUUUAUAUAACAAAGAAAGUCCAAACAUUGAGGUUCUUACCAAUCAAUUGCUUGUCUGAGAUGUGUGGGAGGAGGCUUAUGCAAUGAGCAGAACAACAAAGCAUAGUUCUCUUGCAUAGACAUAACAAGAAGCUGCCAAUGACGCCUAAAAUUCAUAAUAACUUAACUAUUAUAUAUUAAAAUCACAUGAUGACUUGGGUCCAAGCCCAUCAUGGACCCAUCACUAGAAGCAUAGAAGACUCCAAGAAGAGCUUGGGGACAUGGAUCCAAAUAGGCAAGUUCUCUUAAUACAUUUUAAGUGGAAUUUGGAGACACCAAGAGAAGGGCAAAACUGUCCACAUGAAGGUUGGAGUUGCUAGCAGCACCCCGAUUCUUGGCUAAGCACACCUAUGGCCAAUUGAUCACGUUUUUUUUAAUUGUUCACAUUGUAAAUAAGGCUUCUAGAUGCCAGCAUGCUUUUCAUUGCUUUGACACGUGGAUGGAUAUCCCACUCUUUAGGAAUUCAUCCACACCACACAUAGUUCAUGGGAUUUCUUAUAAAUCCACAUUGCAGCACAUGUAAAAACACUUUGGAUAUCAAUGAGAAUUUUCUUCUUUGCUGAAUCAUUCUUCUCAGCCGAGAGAUACUCUGCCAAAGUCACCUUCGCUGAUCUUCAUUCCAUCUCCUAGCUUUCUUCCAGUUCUUGGAAGNCGUCUGAAGCUAGAUCUCCUUCUACAUAGAUCUUCAACCACACAUCUACUUCACCUUGCAUCCAUUAUCAUCACUGCUGGAACAAACUGUUGCAGAAUCACGGNUUCUGCAUCUCAUCCGCUGGAGCAGCUCAUCAUGUUGGUAUUCAGAGCUAAAUUCGAUCUACACCACGCUCCAGAUAAGUAGCGUCUCGUUAAUUCCAUAUUGUUUCAUCAAUUCUUUCCUGUCUUGAUGUUGUGUGUAUUGUUUCAUUGCUUCAUUUGAUUUUAGUAAAUCUCAUCCGUUACACGGUUAUUUUUCUUCAAUCCAGCUUUUCUUUGUUUUCAUUUUCUUGUUUCAUUUUAAUCGGUCAAAUCUGGUGCCUUGGAGUAUUUUAAUUUUUUAGAUCCAAUACAGUCAUGUCUGAUCAUGUUGUGGUUCAAUUUUAUUGUCAAAAUUCUGAGUUAAUUGGUUUUAGCACCAACCUACCGUUUCUGAAGUGAUAAAGUGUGUGGAUAAAGCUGAUUUCUUGAGAUGACUUUCAAUAGAUGCACAUUCAAUGAGCAAUGACUAAAUGAGCUCAGUGUAUUCUGAAAGCAAUUACAGAUCAGCACCAGUAAAUCACUGAUCAAAUUUGUGAUUGAACUUGAAUGAUAUUGGUUGAUGCAACUGCACCGUGCUAACUGUGUUCUAAUUUGAUAUGAUAAUCUGUAAUAAUUUGAUGCACUGUUUGAAUUGAGUCACUGCAAUAGUGUAUUAAGCAAACCAAUUCAGUUGAGAUUUGUUAAAAUCAAACCGAGAAUGGUUGCCUUACACUGCAGAAGUUCACAGUAUAGUGCAUAGCAGCUUGGCCGAACUGCACUUGACUUGUUUGAGUUUGUUUUUCUGGUUUUGAAUCUGUUCAGCAAUUACAAAUACUCCACUGGACAUCUAUUCAUCUCAUUCUUAGAGUCUGUUUGUUGUUAAACUGUUGAUCUAAUGACGAAAGAAAUAAUUCAGAUCAUUUUGAUUCCUCUGUCUGAAUGAAUGUUGCGAAUUGGUAAUUUUUGUGUUACAAAGAACAACUGAGAUAGUGAAAUUCCGUUUUAGCAACAUUUAGCCUGCAAUGGCAGUGCACACAAGUCAUAAAUGUGAAACUAAAGUUGCUAGAAACUUUGAAUUGGAAGUAUAAACACGUUAACACAGAUUUACCAUUUCAGUUGUCAUCAUUCACUAUAAUUUUUCUGAUAAGUUGUAGCUGAUUGAAUCAAGUUCAUGUUUACUUGAUUGAUGCAUCAAUUUUAUUGUUGGAUUGGUAGCAAAAGCUUGGCGUAACUGAAGUAAAAGAAAUACACAAUACAAUAAAAAAGAAAGUAUUUUAUUUGAAAAAGCUGUGAACACCAGUACCAGUCAAUUGUAGGUUAUUUUGGUGCAUCAGCCAAAAGUUCUCUUAGGCAUUUUUACGAACAGAUUGCCUAUGUUUAAGUUGAAUUUGAAUUGAUUGAUCCUGCAACUUAUAUGAGUUUAUUGCUUUCUAAAUCUGAGCUAGAACCAUUCCUAAGUUCCUUUUAAAGUGUUAGCUAUUAUUGAAUCCAUUUAAUUUCUUGAUUUUUGCUUGAUUGGAAUUCUGCCCACCAACUGUUUGUGAUAAUCACAGUGGGGCGUUUUUUAUUGCAUCGCUGCAGCAGUAUAUUCAUUCAAUUUCUGCAUUAAUCUUGUUGGUUCUAGAUCCGUGUGAGUGUUGUGGUGGUUGCAGAUUAGUUGCAGAUAGCUUUGCAUUGCUGGUAGCAUAUUAGAAAGAGGAUUGGUGAGGGUGAAGAUUGGAUUGAAAGUUGGUUUUGGCAGCAGUCAACAUUUUUCGGUGCUGCAGCAGAAUUGUUGCAGAUCUGCAUAAUUGACUGUAACAUCUGGUGCAGUUUUGAUACAGACACAGAAUUGAAAGCCUCACUUUCUGCAACUGUGAGAUUUGUGGCUGCACUUGAUACCUACAAUUUCCUUUGAGAGAGGCCAAAGUUGCAAUUGCCAUUUCCCUCCACCGUUACUUUUUCUUUGCUGCAAUUUGUGUAUUUCUUUAUUUUCCAUUUCUUGUAAUCUAGCUAUCUACAGCAAGUGCAGGGGAAGAGCUCAUAAGUGUUCUCCUCUCAUUUGCUAAACUAGACUUAAAGUCUCACAACCUAAAAUUGGGUAGACGGUGAGUGUGUCUUAGAUCCAAAGUCUAAGCCUCACCUAGGAGACCUCACUUUAAUUGCUUUUCUAAUUCUCGACUAGAUAGCCUAUAUCUUGUGCGAAUAGGAAGCUCUCUUAGGGGUCCAAAUUUAGAGUUUAGGUUGUUUUUCUUUGCUUUGUGUGUUUUUGUUGUCUUUAAGACUUAAGUGGAUUUAAGAGUGAUUUUGAUCUAAGGACUCUAGUAAGUAGCUAGAAGCAUAUUUGGCAAGGAUAAGGCUUGGUACUUAAGCAAUCCUAGUGAUUCACCUCCCUUACCUGGAAUAUUGCUUUCANGGCAAGGAUAAGGCUUGGUACUUAAGCAAUCCUAGUGAUUCACCUCCCUUACCUGGAAUAUUGCUUUCAAGUGAAAAUCUUUAGUCUUUAUUUCAAGAAUAACAUUUAAGUCCACCAUAAUGUCUAGAAGGCAUUCUCCUAGGAUUAGUGAUAGUGAAAAUCAACAAGAAAAUUUUACUCUUCAAACUUUAGUCAAUCAAUUCACUGAGAUGAGAAAGGAAAUGCACCAAGAAAGAAUCAAUAGAGAGCUUCAAAAUGCUAUGAUUCAAGAUGAGUUGAGAUUGUUAAGAGAAGAACAAAAUAGGUCUAGGGGAAGUCUAAGUGACCAUUCUGAAGUAGAGGGCAUACCUCUAAAUGUAGGGGAUUACUACAAUCAACCUUCUUCUUCUACGAAAUCUAGGAGAAAUGUUCAUGUGCCCCCACACCCUAAAGAAGUCCAUGUUGUGUUGCCUCACUUCCAUGGGAAGGACAAUGUUGAGGCUUAUUUUGAUUGGGAAAUGAAGGUGGAACAAUUGUUUGCUUGCCACCAAGUGAGUGAAGAGAGAAAGGUCUCUCUAGCUACCCUAAGUUUUCAAGGGUAUGCAAUGUAUUGGUGGACUGCCCUAGUCCAAGAGAGGCUUAGACAUCAAGCCCCUCCCAUUCAUUAUUGGAAUGAUCUCAAGUCUGCCCUUAGGAGGAGGCACAUUCCCUCCUACUACAAUAGAGAACUCAUGGAUAAACUCCAAAGAUUACAACAAGGGUCUAUGACAGUUGAAGAAUAUAGACAAAAGAUGGAGUUGUACAUCAUGAGGGCAGGAAUAGUGGAGGCUUCAGAAAUUACUUUGGCUAGAUUUNUAGGUGGGCUUAAUUUUGANAUUAGAGAUAGGGUUGAAUUANUACCUUAUAGAGAUUUGAAUGAUCUUGUUCAAAUGUGUAUCAAGGUAGAACAACAAAAUUUGAGAAAAACCUCUUCUAAGAGAGUUCAAAUUCAACCUAUCCUUGAAAAGAAAAUUUUCAAAGACAAAGAGCCUUUUAAACCUCUAGCCAAAAUAAAUGAAAAUCCCACACAAGAAUCCUCUUCACACACUCACACAAGAGAUAUCAAGUGCUUUAAGUGUCUGGGUAGGGGACAUAUAGCUGCUCAAUGUCCUACCAAGAGAACCAUCAUUCUUAGAGGUAGUGACAUUUAUAGUAGUGAAAGUGAAUCUCCCACUAGUGAAAGUGAGAGUGAACAAGAGAAGGGAGAGGAAGUCUUUGCUGAAGAUNGUCAACUUCUCAUGGUGAGAAGAGUGCUCAAUAAUCAACCUAGCUUAGAACAUCUAUCUCAAAGAGAGAACAUCUUUCAUACAAGAUGUAAGAUUCAAGACAAAUAUUGUUCUCUCAUUGUUGAUAGUGGAUCUUGCUGCAAUUGUUGUAGUGCCAAGCUAGUUGAAAAGUUAAAUCUUGAAGUCAUACCCCAUCCAAAACCUUACAAGCUUCAUUGGCUCAAUGAAGAUGGGGAUAUAACUGUCAAGAAACAAACUAAAUUGGCAAUUUCCAUUGGGAACUUUAAAGAUGAAGUGAUUUGUGAUAUAGUUCCCAUGGAAGCUUGUCAUGUGUUGUUGGGAAGACCAUGGCAAUUUGAUCAUGAAACCAUACAUCAUGGUCUUACCAACACCAUAGUUGUGCACAAAGGAGAUAAGAAAUUUGUGCUUCAUCCUUUGACACCUACUCAAGUUGUAAAGGAUCAAGCACAAAUGAAGGAAACUAGGGACCAAGAAAGUGAACAAAAGAGAAAAGAAGAGGAAGAAAGACAAGAAAAAAAAAAACAGAGAAAGGGAAGAAGUUGAAAGAAAAGAAUGGGAAGAAAAGGAAAAAGAGCAAUUAAAGGCAAUAUCUCCUCCUACACUUACAAUANAACCUAAUCUAUUAAGGGGAGGUUUCUUAUCCUUUCACUUUUCUCCAUUUAUUUUUGAAAUUCCAAAAUCUCACUCUUCUUUCCAAGAAAUUGCCAUGUCAUUUUUAAAAAAGCUAAAACUUUCAACACAUGGCAAUUCACACCUUGAGUUAUGGUUACCUCUUUGGUUACCACUAAAUCAAGGGAAAAAUAAAUUUUCAAAAGAAGUAACGCUUCAUAAAAUUACAAAACUUGAACAAAUGAACAUUAGGAAGCCUUCUUCUAAACAUUUUGUUUUAUACAUUUUGUUGGGUCAUAGAAAACUAAUUAGAAAUAUGUUUGAUGUUUAUUGCAGAUUAAUAUUUGACCCAGGUGGAAGAUCUAUGAAGACUACAAAAAUAAGUCCUCAAGCAACCACCAAAUUUGAGGACAAUCCUUUCCAAGGGAGAGGGGAUGAUGACUUGGGUCCAAGCAUACUAGAAGCAUAGAAGACUCCAAGAAGAGCUUGGGGACAUAGAUCCAAAUAGGCAAGUUCUCUUCAUACAUUUUAAGUGGAAUUUGGAGACACCAAGAGAAGGGCAAAACUGUCCACAUGAAGGUUGGAGUUGCUAGCAGCACCCCCAUUCUUGGCUAAGCACACCUAUGGCCAAUUGAUCACGUUUUUCUUAAUUGUUCACAUUGUAAAUAAGGCUUCUAGAUGCCAGCAUGCUUUUCAUUGCUUUGACACGUGGAUGGAGAUCCCACUCUUUAGGAAUUCAUCCACACCACACAUAGUUCAUGGGAUUUCUUAUAAAUCCACAUUGCAGCACAUGUAAAAACACUUUGGAUAUCAAUGAGAAUUUUCUUCUUUGCUGAAUCAUUCUUCUCAGCCGAGAGAUACUCUGCCAAAGUCACCUUCGCUGAUCUUCAUUCCAUCUCCUAGCUUUCUUCCAGUUCUUGGAAGCCGUCUGAAGCUAGAUCUCCUUCUACAUAGAUCUUCAACCACACAUCUACUUCACCUUGCAUCCAUUAUCAUCACUGCUGGAACAAACUGCUGCAGAAUCAUGGCUUCUGCAUCUCAUCCGCUAGAGCAGCUCAUCAUCACAUAUGGAACUUUAUUAUGUUAACAAAGUUCACUUACCUAGAUAUAUAAGGCAAAGAGUAUAUUUUCUUGCCUCUUGCAAAACUUCUUAUCAGAUUUGUGUUGAUCUGAUCAAAAUCAUUUGAUUCAUGAAUGGAUUGGGCAUCAAUGAAUCCAUAAUCAUCAGAACGCCCCAACUUGUUACUGACCCCAGACAUAUACCUGAAAUCAAAAUGUAACUUUGAUAUAAGGAUACUUGAUAUAUAAAUCAAUUUUAUAUAUAAAUAAUUGCUCGUAGACUUACAUGAUCCAUAGCUUAAUAAUUGAAAUAUUCAAUUGUUGUGUUCCUGACGCAAGCUCUCUAGUAUCUUAGCUAUGAAGGUAUAAUGGGACCUCCGAGGCUGCCCCAAAUGUAUUAGCAUCAUACUCAACCUCCAAAGGCUUAUCUUCAAGGAUGUCAGCAAGUACAUGCAAUGAAGCAAGAGGAUCAUCCUCAGAUAGAGGAAUCUUCUGUUGUGCUUGCAUCUGUUGUUACAUAGAAAAAUAAGAUAAGUUUUGACAUCAAUAACCUUUAAAAUUGAGAAGUGUAAAGAAGAAUUUCAUACCAAGGGGUCAGAAACUGAACCAACCAAAUGUUUAGGCCAAGCGAUAAAGGACUUGAAUGCUUCUUCCACAGUGAAAAUCUCAUCUGUGGCCAGAGGAACUAAGGCCUCUGGUAUGAUCAUUUCGUCCACCGAGACCUUCAUCACAUCCUCUGAUAGCUGCAUACCAUGAAAAACAGUCACUGACUUAAAAAGUGUUCCACGAGCUAGUAGGACCGUGUCGGUAUCGUCUAAAAUGUAUAGCAGACAUGGACUAGCAUCGUCCAUGUCAUCCCCUGGGACGACUGGUGCGGAACAACUUCCUUUCCCGCUUCUCCCUGUCAGAGUAAAUGUCAGAUUAUACAAAACAUAGAAAUAAUUGCACAUAAAUGUUUAUUAAGUUUACCUGUGGGAAGCACAACAUGUUCCUGUUCCUGUACAAGAGAUGGCACCGGGGGCAUUUCAUAGGUCUCAAACCGCUGCUGGAACAUGGAGAUGAACUCAUUAUACAACUCAACCCUGAGCUCUUAUCUAACCUUGUUUGUGAUCUCGUCCGUAAGGUCCGCUCCGACCUUUUUAGUGAUCUCUUGUGUCAUCCUUUCUCUUUGUGCCUCGCUAUAUGCAUAUGAAGGCUGACGAGAAGAGCUCCCAAAAUAAUCUUUAAUUCCUACUCCAAGACCAACAACACGUACACGUCCAGGGUGCUCAGGUCGUCCAAUCGCAGUAGUAAGAAUAUCCUGGCGACCCUCUGGAGUGAAUUGACCUUGGGAGCUCUGCUCAACCAAGGAAUCCUGUAACAUUACAAAACACCAUUAUUCUUUAAAAAGUUCAAUGUAGUAUGUAUAAUUACAAUUAUUAUUAUUUUACGAACAGUGAUAACUUACAAUUCUUUUAGAAAUUUCCCGUGCAGUAUCAGAAGAGUAGGUGCCCGAUGGUCUCAUACGAGCCAACUUCCAUUUUUCAUGUCUAGAAGGUGGAGGAGGAGGUCGAGGGGGGCUACCACCCUGAGAUGGUGGUCUAGCAUCUGCCUUUUGCUUGAGAAUUUUCUCCUCAAGCUUCCUAUACCCACCACGAGAUAAUAGGUGGAGGUUUUUGUUAUGAGCACUUGUUCCUUGUGCUUUGCUUCUAAUUGCCUGUCACAUACACAUUAAUUAAUUAGUUCAUAUGAUGUAUAUUUAUUAAUGAGGAAUUGAAUAAUAUCAACUAUACUAACCUUCCAUUCCUCUAACAUCCGACUCUCUUUAAAAAGCCGCCAAGUCUCCUCAUCAAUGGACUUAUAUGAACUACAUGGAGACUUAUGUUUAAGGUGUCCAGAGAUAUAUCUUGAUAUCAAAUUACUUUAAAAGUUUCUAAAGUUUUCAGCAACAGUUGACAAACACUUAUUUCUAAGUGUUGCGACAUUUGGAAUGUCAAAUGUCAGUUGAAAUAAACAUAAUAAAGUUGUAUCAGUACAAAAUUAUCAAUAUAAACAAAUUUUAAUUCAAAUGAUAUUAACUAACUUACCAAUAUAUCGUUCCAUAUAAUGUUCUGAUCAACCUCGGACACAUGAUUAAAAGAUGGAGUGAGAAUACUAAUCCUAUCACGUGCCACUACUCCAAGGUAUGAUCGGAAGUCAUCUGCAUUGGGGCCAGUUGCCACACCCGUGAUCACGUUCACAUUCACUGAAGUUCUUUCACCACUAUUCUUUCUGAUCAAAAGUUGUUUCAUCCUGGUGGGUCCUCUAGUGGAUCUGGUAAGGGGAGCCUCAUCCCCUGAAGAAUGUGGAUGAUCAGCCAUAUAUCUGUCAAAAUAAAUAGCAACAUGAAAUAUUAAUAAAAGACUUAUGUAAUAUCAUAUAAUUUAACAAAACAUGUAAUAGUAAUAAUAAGAAAUAUAUAAAAGGAAAACUUAUGUGAUAUUCAUAAAAUACUUAUACAGAAAUUGAAAAUUCAUACAUAAAGAUAUGGAUUCAUCAUAUGUAUAUUCCUUCAUCAUGAUCUGAUCGAAUUGCAUGUACAUCGUUGUCAACUAGAGAUUGGUUAUCCAAAUUUAUGACCAAAUGAAUUAAAAUGAAAUUAUAACUGCAAUCAAAAUCUUUCUUGCGACAAAUAAAUUUAUUUCUUAAACUAAAGAUCGAUGGUGCUUAAGCGUCAUUAUUUAAGAGAAAUAAUAAUGAACAAUUUUCUUUUGUUUAAGUAACCAUAAAAUGACUAUUUAAUUAUUUAAGCGACAUCACUCCAGAAAAAAUCAUUUUGUUCAUGUUUAACCACUUAAAAAAAAACAAGUAAAACAUUCAUUACCUAAAUUUUUAAUAUGUUUCCUUAAUCUUACAAAACUCUAUUUUUUUCCUAUUUCAGUGAAUCCUCAACUUCUUUUCUUAUGUGAAAGUGUAAUUCAAUUAUAAAAUGCAUUAAUGAUUAUCUUUAGCAGAAUCUAGGAGACCAUUUUUGGAACAGACUUUUCAAUGACAAGAUAUAAUUAUUACAAAUAUCUACCGCUAAAAUAUUAAUAAUUUGUUUUAUAAAGAUUUUGACGAUAAUUUUGUCAACAAAUUAAUUUAUUAGAAAACCUAUAACAAAAUUAACAAUAUAUAAUGUCACGUAAUCCAUCACAUUUUGUGAUGAAUUUAGUGUAGUUAGAUGAAAACGUUAUUUUUAGCAUUGACAUUGAUGUUUUCACUAGUAGAAAAACAACGUAUAAUGUCGAAUUUUUUUGUCAAUUUCACUAGUAGAUGAAAACGACGUCAUAUCAGGAAACACGUUGAAUUGAUGUCGAAUUUACGUUAAUUUAAUGUCGCUUUUUAUUAAUAUAUGACGUUAUUUAAUGUCGAAUUUUGUCAAUAUACGAAGUUAAAUAACGUCGAAUUUUGUCAAUAUACGACAUUAAUCAACUUUUUUUUUUUAAAUAAUUGGGAUCUUUUUUAUACCUCUAUGAGACUUCAAAAGCAGAAAAAAACAACAAAUUUCAAUUUUUGGUAUUUUAUAAAGCAUAAACUAUGAACUGUAAUAUAGGAUCAAUCGAAGAAUAAUAAUAAACAACAAAGAUCAAUCAAACAUCAAACAAUAACAACAAACAAGUUCAACCAAACAACAACAACAUCAAACAAGUUCAACAAAAAAAAAAUAACAAACAAGUUAUCAACAAAUUAGUUCUUCAAAACGAAAACAAAAACUAACAUGGGUUCAUUGGAAUAAACUGUUGCCACCAGUGAGAGAGAAAGCAGAAUGCGCCUAUAAGGAUAAGAACACGAAAAUAAUCAGUGAAAAUAAAUGAAAAUCAUACCUAAAGUAGUUAAUUAAUAUGCAUUUGUAUCAAAUGAAAAAAAGAUUACAUGUGAUGGUCGUCAAACUUCGUUUUAAAAAAAUUUGAGCAGAGAAAAGGGUCCUGUGCGCUAAGAUAAAGUAAAUGAAUUUUCAAUCUCCCAGUCAAUUUUUUUUUUAAUUCACUAACCUUUUAACGUCUAACGUUGGGACAUUCAACGUUUUAUAUUCUUUUAUAUCGAAUUACAAUUCUAAAUGACGUUUAAUAAUUGCAUUUAUUUACAAAAAUACUACCAAUAAUGUUUAAUGUUGGCUAUUAAAUAUUUCGAUGUUAAACAUGUGACAUUAUAAGUUGAUUUUGCACUAGUGUUUGUCUUCUAAAUUUUGGGUUAACACGGACUCUUUUUCGCUACAAUUCUGCAAAACAAGUGGUGUUUUUUUUAGGCUUAAUACCGCUUUUGGUCCCUAGUUUGGGAGGUUUUGUUCAAUAUGGUCCUACCUUUUCUUUUUAGUAACAAUUGAUCCCACUUUUUGAAAAAACUGUUCAAUUGACUCCUUUUUGGUUUCGACGUCAAUUUUCUAAGGUGCUGGUUACGACAUCAAUAAGUUCUUUCAUGCAUUCACCUAUCAAAAUGUAAUUUUAACAAUCCUGACAUAAUGUUAUGUUAAAAAUCAUGUCAUCAUCGUAUACAAUAAGGACUAUAAUAAACAAUUUAAACUUGAAUAUGGAACCACUAUGAACAAAAAGGACUCAAUUGAACAGUUUUUUCAAAAGGUGGGAUCAAUUGUUAUGAAAAAAAAAAGAUAGAACCAUAUUGAACAAACUCUCCCAAACUAGGGACCAAAAACGGUAUUAAACCUUUUUAUUAAUAAAAUUUAAAAAUAACGCCUCGUGGGUAAAAGUUGAAUAGGAUUAGUAUUUAAAAUAUAUAUAUCUAUAUAUAUAUAUAUUUAAUUAAUUCUGCGUAAGAUUGAAUUUGUUUGGCACAGUAAGUUCUAUAUGUUUAUCUGAAGUAGAAAUUAGACAUCUUAAAACAUGAAAGGUAUAAUAUAAUUUAAUUUAGAGUUGAUAAGAACGCGUGCUAAACUUGUGUUGGGAACAGUAAUACAAAAACGAAAUUGAAAUGAAAUUGCAAUUAAAUUGGGAACGAAUUCAGUACAUGAAAGGAAAAGAAAACGAAAACAAAACAUAAGGAGAGGAGAGGCAUGUUCUACGUUCUACAACAUCAAAAUACGAAUGGAAUAAUUUCUAACAUUUUUUCUCUUUGGAUGCGAAAACCUAGGGCAGGGCAAUUUGUCCUCGGUCUCUCUAAAUCUAACCUAAAAAUGGGUUUAAUGUCAUACAAUAAAACGAAAUUAUAAAUAAAAACAAAUGAUGAUGUAGAAAAUAGUAAAUGACGUGAGAAUUCUCUCUUGUUUUAAAAUAUAAUCCAAAAAUUAUUUUAAAAAUAAUAAUGAAAAUAAUUAAACUUAAAAAAUUCAAAUUAAUUAAAAUAUCAAUUAUUAAUUAAAUUAAAUCCAAAUAACAAAACUGAAAAAAUAAUGAAAAGUCAAGAACAAUUCAUUAAUUAAAUAUGAUAAAAAAAAAAGCUAAGUAGCCCUCCUGAGGGCCCCAUUCCAGGGAUUUGGCACCUAUAUGGCAUUUGCACUUAUAAUUUAACCACCAAUAUUGUAAUAAGCUGCCUGCACUACACAGUUGCAUUGGAGGUAGGUUUUGACUAAUUAUGUGUGGCAGUGGUGUACUGAAUGUGCCUCAGUACUGAUUCAUAAAUAACAGUUUUUUUUUGUUUCUUUUUAAUGAUAAGCAUAGUAGAAAAACACCAUUGUCAUGACAAACACAUUAUUCAUAGGUAAUAUUAGUUACAAAUUAUUUUUUAACAGAUUUUUAUCUAUAUAUAAUCUAUAAAUAAAAUUGCUUUAUUUAAUAAUUUUGUGACUUUCUAUAAACUUUUACAAUAUGUAACGAUGAUUUUUCUUUUAACGAAGAUUAUAGAAAAAACAAGUUAAAUAAGUUUGACCUACAAUACAUGAACCUAUUUUAUAAACUUGCAUUAAUGUACUUUUUAAAAUUAAGUAACAUCUACAAGGAAGUAACAAAAUUCUUCUAUAAUUAAGAUGUAUUACAUUUUUAUAAAUAAAAUUAAUAAUACAAAACAACAUUAGUAUUUCAAUAUAUUUUUAAUUUUUUAUACUAAUUAAGAUCAAAUAAAAAAAAUAAAUUUAUGACCAAAUGAAUUAAAAUGAAAUUAUAACUGCAAUCAAAAUCUCUCUUGCGACAAAUAAAUUUAUUUCUUAAACUAAAGAUCGAUGGUGCUUAAGCGUCAUUAUUUAAGAGAAAUAAUAAUGAACAAUUUUUUUUUUUGUUUAAGUAACCAUAAAAUGACUAUUUAAUUAUUUAAGCGACAUCACUCCAGCAAAAAUCAUUUUGUUCAUGUUUAACCACGUAAAAAAAAAACAAUGAAAACAACCAUUACCUAAAUUUUUAAUGUGUUUCCUUAAUCUUACAAAACCCUAUUUUUUUCCUAUUUCAGUGAAUCCUCAACUUCUUUUCUUACGUGGAAGUGUAAUUCAAUUAUAAAAUACAUUAACGAUUAUCUUUAGCAGAAUCUAGGAGACAAUUUUUGGAACAGACUUUUCAAUGACAAGAUAUAAUUAUUUCAAGAAUGAUCUCCGUCUACCAACCCAUCUUCUUUCUACACCUCCUCAAUUUUUUUAAAAUUCCAAGUUUACAUUUUUUACAUUUUACUUUUAUUAAUUUUACUUUUUAUUUUUUAAAAUCCUAAUCCCAAUCCCCUCUCACUUUUACUUUCCCUUUCACUCUGAGCAGUAAGCCCCUACCCCCUUCCCCACUCUCACUUUCUCUCUUUUUCUUUAUUCCCACUUCCGUUAGCACAACAUUUUUCAUUUCCAUUUCUUCUCUCACAUGAUAUUGUACAAUGGAACAUCAAUCAUGACAUUGAAACAGUGCUUGUGUAGUUGCAGUCAUUUAUAACAAGGAGCUUUCAGGUAGUACAACAGUUGGUAUAAUCAAAACCUAUUAUAAUAAUAAUAUUAACGUAAAUGAUUACAAGAAACCGUGUUUCACAUUUUAAUGGAUCACAUGGAGGUCCAUAUGGGGGAGAAAUUUAGACUUUAACAAACACAACCAGUGAAAACUCAACUAAGACGAUAUUUAUUUUAUAGCUUAAUUAAGUACAAAUUGUUGAUUAUUGAGAUUAUUUGAAAAGGAAAUAAUAAGUUAUGAGGGGAGAAGAAAGAAAUAAAAAAUCGAAGAAAAUGUUGUGAUAACCGAAGUGGAAGAGAGGAAAUGACAGUGGAGGGCGUGAGGGGCUUGUUGGUGAGAGAGUGAAAGGGAAAGUGAGAGAGGAUUGUGAUUAGUGUUUUAAAAAAUAGGUUUAAUACCUAUUUUGGUCUCUCAAAGGAGGGGUUUUGUUCAAAAUCAUCCUACCUUUUUUAAAAUGUAACAAGUAGUCCCACUUCUUGAAAAAACUGUACAAGUUAGUCCUUUUGGCUAACUCCGUUAAAAAUUUAACGUCAGAGCUACACCCCUGGACCAAGGUUCAUUACGUGUCACUUAAAAUUGAAUUGGUGACAGUGUGGUGGCAGUUUCAAGUUUUUUUGACGUGAAAUUAAAAUAAAAAUAUUAUCCAAUUUUUUGAUUAAAAAAUUGGGGUUAGGUUAAAAUGAAACUGGGGUUUCUUUUUACAGAAAUUAAAAAGAGGUAAAUGAGAUCCUUACAUUACCUUGGGGGAAAUGAAGUCUGCAGCAUCAUAGACACCACCAAGUAACCAAUCUUCUGCAACAUCAUAGGCACUACCAAGUACCUAAUCUCCUGCAGCACCACAAGCACCAACAACGUUGAUCCAUGAAUUAAUUUCAACAAAGCAUUUCCCUGGAACCAGUCUUAUAUUUCUGAAUGAUUAAACUUGCUGAAAAUUUGUUAUUAUUUUUAGGCUUAAUACCUCCCUUGGUCCUCGUAUUUGUGUGAAAAUCUCAGUUCGGUCCUCAAGUUUUGAACUGUCUCAAUUGGGUCAUAAUUUUUGUAAAAAUGCACACAUUUUACCCCAACCGUUAACUGAUCUCAAACGGCGUUAAGUUUAGCUGAGGUGGUAUGCCGACGAGAUAAUCUGUGCCGCCCGUCGGUUUCCCAAAACCUGCUUCCACCGCUCGGCGGCAAUCGCCACUACCCGACGGUAUCCCAUAUCCUUCUGCCGCCGCCCGACGGCAAUCGCUGGCGCCCGACGGUUUCCCUCAUUGACAUUUUCCAUGUCUACUCCUCGUCCUGGACCGCCCAACGGUUUAAGUGUGUUGUUGGGCGGUACGUCAACUCUUCAAAACUUCAUUUUUCUACUCUUUUCUUGAGUCAACGACCUGUAUCUUCAACUCCAUUCUUACUUUUCUCAAAUUAGCUACAAAACAAUGCAAAAUAAGCAUAAAAUCGCUAAAAGCAACUUUUGACUCUCUCUAGACUCAUUUGUUGAGUUUUGCUUGAUUUUGAGCUCAUUCUAGGUUGUAAAGGGUGUAAUUUGGUCCAAAUUGACAUAUGAAAAUCUCUGUUUUUCAACCUUCAUCAGGAACCUACUAAGUCAAAGAAGUCAUUGUGGUAUCUUGACAGUGGAUGUUCAAGACACAUGACCGGUGACAAGAAAAGGUUUAUCUCUUUUGAGAAGAAAAAGCAAGGAUUUGUAACUUAUGGGGAUAACAACAAAGGUACAAUCAUGGAAACCGGAGACAUUGGGGGAGGAAACACAUUGACUAUAAGAGAUGUCUUGUAUGUUGUUGACAAAUUGGCAAGUGUACCAAAUCGUACAAGUAAUAUAAAUGGUAAGACCAAGUAUCCUUUCCCAAGAGACUCGUAUGGCUUCCUCGUUCGCGUGAAUUAAAAUAAUAAGACUUGAGAAAUUAAAAUUUAUAAAUUGGGUUUGAGAGCAAAAAUAUUAACAUGCAAAAUAAAGGUUGAUUCAAUUGACAAACGAAAACAAUGGAUGAAUGAAUGUUGUUGGGUAAUAACAAUUUCAUCUAUUCCGCUCUCUCUUACAUACUACCCUUGAAUAUUAUAUUGAUUCAAUUGUUAUGCGACUUUCUUAGCCUCCCCUUAACCCGAUCCCGCGGUGAAAAGAGCCUAAUAUUAACUACUGGCUUGCUAUCCCUAGCCUCCCCUAGUAAUUAAUACCACAUUAUAAACAGAAGUUAGUGCAAUUGAUCGUCUUACCCCUAUCCCUAGGUGGUAUUGCAAAAUCAAGAGAUUACUCACCAGUUCAUGUCAUUACUGUACGUCCCCAUAUCAAUAACGACAAACAUCAAUAUACCGAAUGAGUUAAACGAUAAAGGCCUUAAGCACAGAUGAUAACCCAACAAUAAUCAAUCAAAACAUAUGGAGACCAUAUAAAUAUUCAAUAGUUUCAAUAANAAAGAGCAUCAAAAGAUUACAUUGUUUUCCCCAACAAUAAUAGGGUUUAGUUCACCAUAGACAUGGUGAAACUAGAUGAAAAAUGGAAGAAGAAUGGAAGAGCAAACCCUAGAAAAGAUGGAAAGGAGCUUAAGCAUCCAAGAGAUCCUCUCUAGAGAGCGAAAUUAGGUCUGGCCGUUCUCCCCUGUCAAGAGAAUGACUCUAAAUUCGUAGUAGGGGGAAUAUAUAGGUGAGGAGCGCAUCAAAAUCAGCCCCAAGUCCAGCGAGCCACCGCCGGGCGAUUUAAGUGUGCCUCCCGGCGGUUUCCCAAAACCUGCUGCCACCGCCCGGCGGUUUCCCAUAUCCUUCUACCGCCGCCGCCGGCAAUCGCUAGCGCCCGGCGGUUUCCCUCAGUGACAUUUUCCAUGUCUACUCCUUGUCCUGGACCGCCCAACGGUUUAAGUGUGCUGCUGGGCGGUACGUCGACUCUUCAAAACUUCAUUUUUCUGCUAUUUUCUUGAGUCAACGACCUGUAUCUUCAACUCCAUUCUUACUCUUCUCAAAUUAGCUUUAAAACAAUGCAAAAUAAGCAUAAAAUCGCUAAAAACAACUUUUGACUCUCUCUAGACUCAUUUAUUGAGUUUUGCUUGAUUUUGAGCUCAUUCCGAGUAGUAAAGAGUGUAAUUUGGUCCAAAUUGACAUAUGAAAAUCACUGUUUUUCAACCUUCAUCAACACCCCAAACUUAGAAUUUUGCUUGUCCUCAAGCAAAACAAAACAAAACAAAACAAUCACACAAAACAAAACUUGGCUUUCUACUGUUUGAUCCAAUGCCUCAACAAUCCCAAGGUACAUGACAAAACUACCCAAUUCGAUAUCCUCAGUGAAAUCCAAAAUAAGAUGCAUGCAUGCUUUCAACCCAUAGAUUGCACAAUAGAUGUUAUACACUANGAAUGAUCAAUCCACUAAGCAAAAAUGUACUCAUGAAAUUUAACAAUUCAUACCAAGCAAGUGUUUAACUCAAUCACUCAAGUGUUUAAGGUGACACUCCAACUCUCUAUUGUUCACAAGUCACAUGAAACAAAAUUGUCAUUCAUCUCAAACAAUCAACAUCUUUACAUGCAAAUGCCAUCAAAAGGACUUUCCCAAAGCUUGUAAUGAGGUUGGGCUAACAAGAAAGAAUUGGUUUUUCUAGAAUGCAAAAUCCUUGAAUCAAGAGAGCUAACAAAAUAUUCAACAUUUAAGCACCCUCUCACCAAUGUCUCUCAUUCCCAAUUUUUCCCUUUUCUUUUUCUUUUGCAUUGAGCUCUUCUUCAUGCUUUUCUUCUUUUCUUUUCUCUUUUUCUCAUGAAUUUUCUCUUUUCACAACAAUUGAGCUUAAUGCCUUUCACUUGCUUUUUCAAUUUUCCCCAUACAACCCCAAACUUGAACCUUUUCAUCACAUACAAGUUAGUUCAUCCCAACUCAAGGUAAAGAAUUUCAAAACAAGGGAUCACAUCCUGUUUAAGGCUAAGGUUCAAAAAGGGUAUAAUAUUUCAAACACUUUGGGUGAAAAUUUGGCUAGAGAAGAGUCUUCAAAAAUGGCCUUGAUCAUAUGAAAUUUACAUGCAAUUCAAUCGAUCAUCAAGAUUAAGGCAAUAUCAUCCAUGUUUUCCUGUGAAUAAUACAUGUAACAAUAAAAACUCUGGAGCUCAAAAUCUCACACACAUGCUUUCUCACACAAAAUUCAUUCAUACACCAUGCCUAGCAUCAUGACUACAAUCAUAAAUUCAUCACCCAUCUAUUUCCUAGACAACAUCAUGCAUUACAACUCAAUUUUCUUUCACAUCAAAUAAUCAUCAAAUAGAUCUAUCAUACACAUCAGUUAGUCAAACAUUUUCAGAACAAGUAAUAAAGCCAAGAAUACACACCAAAAUUAAAAUUCAACCUAUUCUAGGAAUUUAAAAUGCAAAAGUGUAAGAAGAAAUCUAGGUUGCCUCCUAAUGGCGCUUGUUUAACGUCGCGAGCCUGACCCAAACCUGGUUGGCACUUGACAGUAAGUGCACUGCCUUCCAUCACCCAUCAGUAGGUGUACCGUCCGGAUAUCCUUCAGUGGAUACCAAAAAAUUUAGCAUCCCUUAGUAGAUGCUACCCAAGAAUUGUUCACAGAAUUCCAAAAAGUACAAGUUCCAACAAAGAAUAAAACAAAAUCCGAAAAAGAAAAUUGUUAAUAAAAAUACAAAAUUCGAUUUCCAACAAAUUCAACUAUUCUUCUUCACGUUGGGAUCUUCAUCAUCCCACCAGCUCACUUUUUUUCGGUCCACCUUCUUGGUCACUUUUGAAUAUGGUCUUUAAAUCUCCACCAUUCCUUUUUUCCUUCAGCUCCUUUAUUAUCCAUGGCUUCUUCUUAAAUCUCACUUUGCUCCCUGGUAGAAGUGGAUCUUCUUUUGCUUUUGGGUGAAUGGUUCUUCUCCCUUUAUUUUCAGGCACCUGCAAAAUACAACAACUGUCAUACUGAAAAUUAAUACCUGGGGAUUUGUCAUCCUCUGCAACUUCACUUUUGGCUCUUUUAUAUUUGACUUUUCUAACUGCCCUCUGCAUAGUUUCUUUAGAGCCAUAAAGCAAUACCCGAUCAUAAUCCUUUACCUUUAUUCCUCCAUCAUGGAUAUGUAUAACCAUCUUGGAGGUUCGCAUGAACGGUCUUCCCAGGAUUAAUGAAUUUUUUCCUUCAUUAGCCAUAUCCAUAAUUAUAAAGUCAAUCAAAAACUCCAACUCAUCAAUCUGCACAAUUGCAUCUUCUACCAUCCCCACAGGUUUCUUCAUAGAUCCAUCUACCACUAUCAAGAUCACUUUGGUAGGCUUCAACUUUACCCCUUUUAACUUCUUGAAAUCACUAAGAGGCAUCAAAUUAAUGCUUGAUCCUGAAUCAAUCAAAGCCUCUCCUAGAUCCACAUUAUUGAUAACACAAGGAAGGGUCAAAGCUCCUGAAUCCUCUAGUUUUUGUUUAUGAUUCUUCUUCCUGGGUUUCGCCCACUGCUCCUGAUUUUCUUCAUAGCCUAAAUCAAGUAACCUCUCCAGAUAGUAUUUGAUCUUGUCAUCACCCUCAGGAGUUUGUGAAUAUGUUAUAGGAUUAAGAGGUGCCUCCUUAAGAAUUUUGUGGAGUGACUCUUUAAUGUCUUCCUUCUCCUUUUCUCUUUCUGAUUUCUUCCUUUCGCUUCUCUUAUGUGUAUUACUCAUCCUUUCCUACUCAUCGUCAUCGUUGCUGCUAAUCUCAAUUUUAAUAUCCUCUUUCCUCCUGUUGUAACAACUUUGCAUUCAUCUUUUGGGUUAACAUCAGUAUUAGCCCGAAAUUGAUGCUUCUCUGUUUCAACCCUCUUAGACAACUGUCCUAUUUUUGUCUCUAGUGAUCUAAAAGUGCCUGAUCACUCGCUUGUUGAGAUUCAUAGACCUUCAAAAAUUUAUCAAACCUGUCAGUUAAUUCUCUGACUGUCUCGGUCAAGCUGCUCAACUGCUGCCAUAAGGGAGAGGGUUGUUGCCGAAAGUGACCUCCUUGUCCAGAAGAAGUAUUCUGCCUCUGCCCAAUACCUGGAUGAUUUUUCCAACCUUGGUUAGAAGUACCUUGGUUGAAACUUCCCUGUUUGUACGAAAAUUGGGCCCCCAUAUAAUUCACGUCCUGUUACAUUUCCUCUGUAAAAGCACAUUGACCAUUAAUAUGGUCACCCCCACAUAACUCGCAUAGUUGUUGAGCUUGGGAAAUAUUCCUGAGCCCCCGAGGAAGUUCAGAAACGACCUUUAGCAACUUGUCCAAUUUCUGACUAAGGAGGUGAUUUUGUGCUGCUGCUGCGUCCUCAGUGGGGAGAUGUAAAAGUCCUCCUUUUUGCGUGCCUCUUUCAUUGUGCGACACUUCAUUGAGAGCCAUCUCUUCAAUAAAGUUGUACGCUUCAUCUUCUGUUUUUCUGUUAAUGCUACCUCUAGUCGAGGCAUCUAUCAUCAUUUUAGACUGAACGCGCAAACCUCCAAGGAAUGCCAACAAGUAUGAAGCUUUAUCAAACCCAUGAACUGGGGUUGCUCUCAACAAUCCUUUGAAUUUAUCCCAUGCCUGCCCCAGUGUUUCUUCCAUUCCUUGUUUAAAAGAAGAGAUUUCUAACUUCUCCUGAUUGAUCUUUGGUGGUGGGAAGAAUUUAAUAAUAAACUGUUGGACCACUGCUUCCCACUUCCUGAACGUUCCCUCCGGGAAAGAAUUCAACCAGUCUUUUGUGUUCCCUCAAAGUGAGAAAGGAAACAAGUUAAGUCUGAUUCUAUCAUCCGUCACUCCAGUUAUCUUCACUGUGUUGCAAAUUCCUCCAAAGACUGUCAAAUGCUUGUAAGGAUUUUCAUUUGACAACCCAUGGAAUUGGUUGUUCUGGACUAACUGGAUAAGUGUCGGACUCAUCACCAUGCUGGUUGUAUUGUCUGUUGGCACUGCAAUACUGUUAAAAUUUAAGGGGCCAACUGUGUUAGCUGUGUCCCCUAGAGUGCGUCUGGGAGGAGGUUGAUUGGCCAUCUCCUCAAGAUUUGGUUCAAAAGUCUCGGGUGGAGUAACUUCUGGAGAAAGAGACCUUUCACACAAAGGGUGUCUCUUCCUCCUCUCGUAUGGUAGACCUUCAAGCAGAGGUUGUUGGUUUUUCCUGCUUCUAGUGUGUAUUGUCUCCUACAUGCACAAGGAACACACCCUAAAAGCACUUUUAUAGAAAAUAAAAAAAAAACGCAAUAAAAGAAAAAUAAAAACAAAAAUAAUUACAAUCAAGUCAAAUCCAAUCAAUUAACACUACUAGACAAAUAAACCUCGAGUCCCCGACAACGGCGCCAAAAACUUGUUGACAAAUUGGCAAGUGUACCAAAUCGUACAAGUAAUAUAAAUGGUAAAACCAAGUAUCGUUUCCCAAGAGACUCGUAUGGCUUCCUCGUUCGCGUGAAUUAAAAUAAUAAGACUUGAGAAAUUAAAAUUUAUAAAUUGGGUUUGAGAACAAAAAUAUUAACAUGCAUAAUAAAGGUUGAUUCAAUUGACAAGCGAAAACCAUGAAUGAAUGAAUGUUGUUGGGUACUAACAAUUUCAUCUAUUCCGCUCUCUCUUACAUACUACCCUUGAAUAUUAGAUUGAUUCAAUUGUUAUGCGAGUUUCUUAGCCUCCCUUUAACCCGAUCCCUCGACGAAAAGGGCCUAAUAUUAACUACUGGCUUGCUAUCCCUAGCCUCUCCUAGUAAUUAAUACCGCAUUAUAAACAGAAGUUAGCGCAAUUGACCGUCUUACCCCUAUCCCUAGGUGGUAUUGCAGAAUCAAGAGAUUACUCACCAGUUCAUGUCAUUACUGUACAUCCCCAUAUCAAUAACGACAAACAUCAAUAUACCGAAUGAGUUAAACGAUAAAGGCCUUAAGCAUAGAUGAUAACCCAAUAAUAAUCAAUCAAAANUCCCCAUAUCAAUAACGACAAACAUCAAUAUACCGAAUGAGUUAAACGAUAAAGGCCUUAAGCAUAGAUGAUAACCCAAUAAUAAUCAAUCAAAACAUACGAAGACCAUAUAAAUAUUCAAUAGUUUCAAUAAGAGAGAGCAUCAAAAGAUUACAUUGUUUUCCCCAACAACAAUAGGGUUUAGUUCACCAUAGACAUGGUGAAACAAGAUGAAAAAUGGAAGAAGAAUGGAAGAGCAAACCCUAGAAAAGAUGAAAAGGAGCCUAAGCAUCCAAGAGGUCCUAUCUAGAGAGCAAAAUUAGGUCUGGCCGUUCUCCCCUGUCAAAAGAAUGACUAUGAAUUCGUAGUUGGGGUAUAUAUAGGUGAGGAGCGCGUCAAAAUCAGCCCUAAGUCCAGCGAGCCACCGCCGAGCGGUUUAAGUGUGCCGCCCGGCGGUUUCCCAUAACCUGCCGCCACCGCCCGGCGGCAAUAGCCACUGCCCGGCAGUUUCCUAUAUCCUACUGUCGCCGUCCGGCGGCAAUCGCUGGCGCCCGACGGUUUCCCUCAGUGACAUUUUCCAUGUCUACUCCUCCUCCUGGACCGCCUAGCGGUUUAAGUGUGUUGCUGGGCGGUACGUCGACUCUUCAAAACUUCACUUUUUUGCUCUUUUCUUGAGUCAACGACCUGUAUCUUCAACUUCAUUCUUACUUUUCUCAAAUUAACUACAAAACAAUGCAAAAUAAGCAUAAAAUCGCUAAAAUCAACUUUUGACUCUCUCUAGACUCAUUUAUUGAGUUUUGCUUGAUUCUGAGCUCAUUCCAAGUAGUAAAGGGUGUAAUUUGGUUCAAAUUGACAUAUGAAAAUAACUGUUUUUCAACCUUCAUCAUAUGUUGAAGGCCUCAAGCACAACCUCCUAAGCGUAAGUCAAUUAUGUGACAAAGGUCUCAAGGUAACAUUUGAAAGUGAUAAAUGCACAGUUUACUUUAAAGAUUUUACUAAUAUUGCUUUGCAAGGUGUUAGGCAUAACAAUAUUUAUCUAAUUGAUAUUGAAAAUGCAUCUAGUCAUAGUAUAACAUGCUUAGUUGCUAAAGAGGAAAAUCCUUUGCUAUGGCAUAAAAGAGCUGCACACAUUCAUAUGCAACAUUUGAAUAAACUUGUUUCAAAAGAUCUUGUGAUUGGUUUACUAAAAUUAAAAUUUGAGAAAGACAAAUUAUGCACUACAUGUCAAAAGGGUAAACAAACCAAAUCUUCAUUUUCAUCCAAAAGCAUGAUUUUACUUCAAAACCUUUAGAACAUAUGGACUUAUUUGGUUUGUCUAGAAUUAAAAGUUUUGGUGGAAAUUUCUAUGCUAUUGUAAUUGUUGAUGAUUAUACUAGAUUUACUUGGACUUUAUUUUUAACUUUGAAAAGUGAAGCCUUUAAAGCCUUUAAAUCUUUUCCUAAACGUAUUCAAAAUGAAAAAGAUUUGAAUCAAAACCUUGAGAAGUGAUCACGGUGGUGAAUUUGAAAAUGAAUCUUUUGAAAAAUUUUGUGAAGAACAUGGCAUUGCACAUGACUUUUCAACACCUAGAACUCCCCAACAAAAUGGUGUUGUUGAAAGGAAAAACAUAUCUUUAGAAGAAUUGGCUAGAACGCUUAUGAAUGAAUCUAAUGUACCAAAAUAUUUUUGGGCUGAUGCGGUUAGUACUGCUUGUUAUGUAUUUAACAGGAUGCUUAUUAGGCCAAUUAAACAAUUAACUCCUUAUGAACUGUUAAAUGGUAGAAAACCAAAUGUGUCUCACUUGAAAAUUUUUAGAUGCAAAUGAUUUGUCUUAAAUAAUGGUAAAGAUAAUCUUGGUAAAUUUGAUGCAAAAUUUGAUGAAGCAAUUUUCCUAAGAUAUUCUUUAACUAGCAAAGCAUAUAAAGUAUUCAAUAGAAGAACUUUGAUAAUUGAAGAAUCAAUGCAUGUUGUUUUUUAUGAGAUUGUGGACCUUGAGGUAAAUCCUCUUGAGUCAAAUAAACCUAUUGCAGGUGAUGAGGAUUAUUUAAGGGAAGCUCUUGAAGAGAUGUACCUAAACGAGAACUAUCUUCUGGAACUUCAAGAAACACCUCAAGCUGUUGAUCCUAAAAGUUAUCAACAACCAAAAGGACUAUCUUUGGACAACGUCAUUGGAGAUAUUUCAAAAUGGGUAACUACUAGACAUAAUCUUAAUAAUUUUUGUCUAACUGUAGCUUUUGUGUCUCAGAUAGAACCCAAGAACAUAAAGGAAGCUCUUCAAGAUGAUAAGUGGUGUGUUGCUAUGCAAGAAGAGCUAAAUCAAUUUGAAAGGAAUGAAGUUUGGGAACUUAUUCCGAAGCAAGAUGAUUAUCAAGUCAUAAAAAAAAUGGGUAUUUAGAAACAAGCUUGAUGAGGAUGGAAACAUCACAAAGAACAAAGCAAGGCUAAUUGCAAAAGGCUACUGUCAAGAAGAAGGUAUAGACUAUGAUGAAACAUAUGCACCGAUAGCCAGGUUAGAAGCAAUUAGAUUAUUACUUGCAUAUGCAUCUUUGAUGAAAUUUAAACUAUAUCAAAUGGAUGUGAAAAAUGCUUUUUUAAAUGGUUUUAUAAAAGAGGAAGUGUAUGUUAGUCAACCUCCUAGUUUUGAGGAUUUCAAAUAUCCUGAUCAUGUUUACAAAUUGAAAAAGGCUUUGUAUGGUCUUAAACAGGCACCUAGGUCUUAGUAUGAUAGAGUUAGUACCUUCUUAAUUGAUAAUGAAUUUUCUAGAGGUAAGGUUGAUUCAACAUUGUUUAUUAAGAAAAUAGGUAAACAUAUCCUGAUUGUGCAAGUUUACGUAGAUGAUAUUAUAUUUGGGUCAACUGAUAAUUCUUUGUGUGAAGAAUUUGCACAAAUAAUGCAAGGUGAGUUUGAGAUGUCUAUUAUGGGUGAACUGAAUUUCUUUUUAGGAUUACAAAUAAAGAAAAUGAAUGGAGGUACCUUUAUCUCCCAAACGAAAUAUUGUAGGGAAGUUCUUAAGAAAUUUGGUAUGGAUACUUGCAAAGAAGCAAAUACACCUAUGGCAACUUCAUGUUAUAUAGAUAAGGAUGAAUCUGGAGAAGGAGUAAAUGAAACUCUGUUUAGAGGUAUGAUAGGAUAUUUAUUGUACCUAACUACUAGUAGAUCAAAUAUUAUACAAAGUGUAUGUGUGUGUGCUAGGUACCAAGCCAAUCUUAAAGAAUCACAUUUGACUACUGUCAAGAGAAUCUUAAAAUACCUUAAGGGAACUACUUCUUUUGGACUUUGGUAUCCCUCUGAUGCUUCACCUAGUUUAUUAGGUUAUUCUAAUGCAGAUUAUGGUGGUUGUAAAAUUUAUAGAAAAAGUACUAGUGGAACCUGUCAUUUUCUAGGUUGUUCUUUAGUGUCUUGGCACUCAAAGAAACAAGUGUGUGUAGCUUUGUCUACUACUGAAGCUGAAUAUAUUGCUGCUGGCAAUUGUUGUGCCCAAAUUCUAUGGAUGAAACAAAAAUUGGAAGACUUUGAUAUCUUCCUUGAUCAUAUUCCAUUAAAAUGUGAUAAUAUCAGUGUUUUAAAUCUAACUAAGAACCCCAUAAUGCAUUCAAGAACUAAGCACAUUGAAAUUAGACAUCAUUUCUUGAGAAACCAUAUUUAAAAGGCAAAUUGCCAAAUUGAAUAUAUUGAUACCUUACAUCAAUUAGCUGAUAGUUUCAGAAAGGCACUUCUUAAGGAUAGAUUUUAUGAGCUUAGAAGAGAGCUAGGAGUUUUAGAUAUGUCUUAUGAUCAAAGCUUAUGAAAAUUUUUCAAUUUUCGUAUGAUUAGAGUUUUUAAUCAAUUAUCACAAGGUAAUAAUCGAUUAUUUUUGGCUUUAGGAAUCCCUUAAUCGCAAAUAAUCGAUUAUCUCAUGGAAUAAUCGAUUAUUCAAACUCAAACUCAAAUCUAGAAAAUUAUGAACAAAUAAUCGAUUAUCUUCAGGCAUAACCGAUUAUUGUGCAAUUAAUGGUAAGUGAGUGAUGAACUGAUUAUCGAUUAACACUAAUUAUAAUCGAUUAUCACGCGCACAGUUCCAAAAAUAGAGUCGUCGGAGAGCUCUAUAAUGGCCAUAAAUGGCUAUAUACGACCAAUUUUCUGGUUUCCCAUUAUUUGAUUGUAUGGAUACUAUGUCCUAGAGGAUGAUUCAUUAUUUGAUUGUAUGGAUACUAUGUCCUAGAGCAACCAAUCAUGCUCAAUGCUCUAAGCAGGAUCUACUUCUUCUGUAUGGGAUCUUAAAUCACAUACACAUUGGUUAGCCUGCUCUUAUUGCUGACACCAUGGUAAAAGCUAAGACAUCUCAUUCCUAUCAUUUUCCUUAUGCUCUUCUCAUCUUUAGAAUUGUAGAAUACAAAGGUGUUAAUGUGGAAGGAGAACAUGUUCGAGCAAUUCAAGCUAUUGGUUCUGAGAUUGGAGACACCACUUUUUGCCAAAUGGGAUUUGUUACUCGGGGAAAUGCAAUUAUUCAUAAAGAUAAUGAUCAUUCACAUGCUGGUGAAGAAGAUGGCAUGGAUACUCACAUGGUAGAACCAGUUAAUGUUGUUGCUCCUUCUGAUGAUGGUUCAUUUAACAUGCCCUCAUCCUCCUCACUUACCAUGGAAGAACAUUUUGCUAGAUUAUCUAAGAAAUUAGAGGAUUUUAGUCUUGCACAGAAAACUCACUUUGAAGAAAUUUAUGAGUGGCAGCAAGCUCAUAACGAAUACGUGGUUGAUCAAUUUCUUGAUCUUGAUGUUCGCCUAACCAACAUUAAAACUCAUCUAAACAUUCACCCACCUGAGAGAUCCCCCAGCCCUGAGUUUUAGAGAUAGGUUUCUAUAUUAGUAUGUUUUGUUGUUUGAUUGUUGAUGCUUCUAUUUUUGUUGAUAGUAUGUUUUUUUCUUUAUGAUGUUAAUGUACUCCUUUUCCUUUAUGAAUAAAAUGAUCUUGUGUUUUUCAUACAUACAUUGUUUAAUUGAGUGGAAGAUUAUAUUAAGGGGGAGCUUUGUUACAUUGAUCUUUUUGCUUAUGAUCAAAAAGGGUGAGAAGUAUAUGUUUAAGGGGAGAAGUAUAAUAUAAGUUGAUACAGGUAUUGCUAACCUUGUUGUUGUGUGUUAGUUUGUAUGUUUUGCAGGUAAGUCAAAGUUGCUUUUAAAACUUGAAUUUUUUAUCAUCAUAAAAAAGGGGGAGAUUGUUACUAAUGAGGAGCAUUGCUAAAUCUUGAAGAAAAUUGUUUUGAUGAUGCUACAAGAAGUUUAACCUGAAGAAGAUAUGCGAUAUAUUUUUUUAAAAGCAAUUUGUAGAAUAUGAAUGUAGUAGGAAAGUCCUAAAAAUUUGUAAAACUUGUACUUUAGAUAAUAUACUGAAAUAAUCGAUUAUGAAGAGCAAUACUCGAUUAUCAUAAGUCUUUCAGGAAUAAUCGAUUAUCACUCCAAAUAAUCAAUUAUCAAAUUUUUUUAAAAACCUGUAACGGACUUGAAUAAUCGAUUAUCACUUACAAUAAUCAAUUAUUACUGGCAGUUGGGACUUGACCUUUGAUAUUCAGACUGGCUGAUUAUAUAUUGGAAUUCUAAGAACUUCAGAAGUAAUGUUGUUGAACAAGAAGCUCUUAGAGAAUACUGUUUGUCAGAGGAAGUUCUCAAAAGCUAUAGUUCAAGUUCCCUUGCUUGGUCUCGUUAAUAGGAGAAACUCACGUUUCAUGUGUCGAUAGUCGGAGUGGUUCUCUUCGAGUUAGCAAGGUGCUCUGCCUGGUCUCGUGAAUAGGAGAAGCUUGCGUUUCAUGUGUCGAUAGUCGGAGCGGUUUUCUUCGAGUUGGCAGAGUGUUCUUCUUUCGGUUCGUUCGUCGAAGGAAGGUUUAAUCAUAUUUUUAUUCAUUACUGUUAUAAUCUGAAAAACUGUUUUUAGUGAAACUGUUAAUCAAAUUUUAUAGUGAUUAACGACUGCACGUAGAUUCUUUUGAAUCGAACCAGUAUAAAAAUUACUUGUGUGACUUUUCUACUCCCUACACUCUUUAAUUUAAUUUGCACAUCAACUGUUCGACAAAUUUUCUCUUAGAAAAUUCAUUUCUGAAAACUAACCAUUUUAAUCUAAAUAGUGACCGAACACGUUUUCAGCUAUUUUAAGUUUUAUUCCGCUGCGUUAUACCCUCCUAACGAUACCGAUUGUUCCAACAAAUAAAUUGUCAUAGAAUCAUUAUUUUCUACUACUGUUAACGAAAAUGGCUGGAUUAGCAUCAAUACUUCUUCAAUUUUUAGUGCAAGCUACUCUCUUUCAUGUUCAAAGAUAAAUAAUGCACCUUUCUUUCCAAUUAUAGUUUAGAUUUUAUACUCCACCCUAUACACAACAUUCAAUAGUUUUCAUAUUGAAUACAAUAUGAAAAAAGAGUUAAAAAAUAUUCAUCUAUGCACUAUGUAGAACUGCGGCAAUUUGGAACGUUGUUCAUUUUUCAUUAACUACCAUUCAAUGACUUUUUUUUCAUCUCUCCAUGCUAAUAAGUUUCCUUCCAUGGAAACCUGUUCUAACUUCAUUUACGGACAAGAGUUUAUAAUUAACAAGGGGCUAAUUAAAGUGGGUCAAGUACUACCACACAAAGACUUUCAAAUAAUUUGCAAUAGAAAUUUACCAAUUUAAGCUCCUUUUCUGGUUUGUUUGUUUUCAGUUCUUUCAAUUACUUAAUAUAUAAUUAACUUAGAAAAGAAUAAUUGUUUCAGUAGGAUUGAGAUAUCUAACCCAAAGCAUUCAAAGUUGUCCGCUCCAUCAUCUAGUUGCGCUAUUCUCUCUCUUCUCAUUGUCCUAACUGCUGGGGAGGGUGUCUGCAAAAGACACUCCGACACUUAAGUCAGUGACUUUGCGUAAUAAUCUUGUAAUAAAGAUUAGUUAUCAGAAUUCAAUUACCUACCUUUUCUGUCAGACAAAUAUUUAUAAAUAUGACAAUGUGCUUAUCAUUAGGUUUGACUCAUUAAUCACCAAUAAAUGACAUUAUUCCUAUUAAUUGUCAAUAAAUGGUAUCAUUAACUUCCCGUUGAUUGCUGAGAUUAAUUUCUAGAUUGAUCGAUCAUUUUUUCACUAGAUGGUUAGCAACCCGGUCCUUUGGCUAACUAGGUGGUUCUACUAUACACAAGCCCUCCAAGUCCAAGCAAGCUCUUUGUUGGAAGAGGUGCGCAAGGGUUAUGAUGAACCUGAGAGAGACCGUUAAUGUUGUAUUUUUGAUGAGCGGCAACUGAUGGGAGUUCAUUUUAGAACUUUUUCCUACGUUGAUAGGAAUUCUUUUGGGAACUUUUUCCUAUGUUGAUAGGAAUUCUUUUAAGAACUUUUUCCCAUGGUGAACAAUAGACUCUAGGAUCCUAUAAUCUGCACGGAAAUAAAAUAACAAUUCAAAUUUGAAUUGUUAGAAAAGUGUAACCAAUAAAAUUAAGCUAAUUUGAGUUAUAGGGCCAUACGACCGGACAAGCAAGACCGUUGGAUUUUUGAGUGUAUUUUGACACUUGUUUUUAUGCUUUGAUGUCAUCGAUAAGGACCGAAUGUUGCCUAAUUCAUGGUCACUGUUGUAGUAGUUCUCAUGGACACUUUCAAAGAUCCGAUCAUACUCUAUGAUGGUUAUUGCAUCAAGCAUUUGCUAAGAACUUGGCAAUCAUUUUUGAAGUAAUUUUAAAAAGUCUCCAAAAGCGGUGCCAUUAUACCCGAAAAGCCACACCAAAUAUGACUUCCACCAGGCAAAAAAAUUAGAAAAUUAUAUGCUUCUGCAAACCUAACAAUAAUUACAGUCGUUGUGGAAACUAUAACAAGGCUCAUUAGAUAUGUAAUCCGUUAGGCAACGCUGCCUCAGUAACAGCAUAACUACAUAGUCCGAAUUAGUGUUGCAACCCCAAUUAAAAUGAAUCUUUGCACUGUCACCAAAUUAUCUGCUACUUUAACUUUAGCAGCUCCACGGGGAAUAAUUAUAUGCGCCAGCCUUUGCGUGAAAUCCAAGGGCCUAUAUUAUUCAUCUGUCAGUCAGCAUGCAUCUUCUGCACAGAGUAGCAUGAAAUCCAACCCGCUAGAGAGGUUUAUUUUUCCUCAUCACCACUGGUAAUGAUGAUGUAUUUUCAAUCUAAGCAUUCAAGUGAAUAAAACUUGAAAUCCAAAACAGUAGGUCUUACAAAAAAAAUAAUAAAAUAAACAAAACAAUUAAUCACCCUCCUUUCGUUCAACAAUUCAUCGUCCUUCACCAAGGGAAAGAAAAUGCAAUCUGACCCAAUCCUCGUCAUCGUCAUUUUCAGAAAUGCCCUCUUCCUUUACAAGGUUUAGGUUAUCAUAUUCCUCUUUAGUACGAAGCUUCAAGCAUUUGAUCUUAGCGAUGGUUGGAUGUGGAUCCUAUGCAUUUGGAGGGGAAAUUUGGGGAAAAGAAACCCAAAGAAGUCAGGUAGCGAUUGGGCUCAACUCCACCAAUCUCCAUUGGAUUGAAUUUUUGGCUAUUCUGCAAGGAUUUUUUCACAUCCUUUUCCCGUGUUGCGGUUCCCACUUAUUCAAUAGAGAAACUGUGGAAAAGCUGGAUUUGAACCCCGCUCAAUCUGAACCGUAGGGAGCGUUGAUGUCGACCCUCAAAUCCAAGAAAAUAGUAGGUGCGCCAUUGGACUCUUUGUUAUUGAAUAAAUCUUUAAUAAUAUGAUAUGAAAUAAAGAUACUGAAUUAAAUUAUUCAACAAAGAAUAAUAAAAUAAAUUUAGGAUGACAGGGUCUAAUGGAAGUAUGUAGUGAUAUUGAGACCAAGCUCGUCUGGCUUGUAGUGGCCAAAAGGGAAUUUUAAAGAGUCCCACGAUGGUCCUCAAAAUGUUUUGGUAGGAUUCAGAUCCCUAAUCCAAAGUAUUUAAAGUUGUCUCCUCCAUUAUCCAGUUGCGUUAUUCUCUUUCUUCUCCUUGUCCUAGUCCCAGGGAAGGGUAACUUUGCGUAAUAAUCUUGUAAUAAAGAUUAGUUAUCAGAAUUCAAUUACUUACCUUUUCUGUCAGACAAAUAUUUAUAAAUAUAACAAUGAGCUUACCAAUUGGUCUGACUCAUUAAUCACCAAUAAAUGACAUUAUUGUGUAGUCCACGUUAAUACCCACCUCUUCGGCGUCGCUGUCUUCCAAAAGCCGUGAGGAAUCCUCGCUGCCAGAUGGCUUGGCCUGGUCACUAGCUAUAGCGUUCCUCUCGUCGACGGCACCCGAGGAGGAGGAAGAAGAAGUGGCAACCUGGUAGUUAGCAUACCCCCCUGCCUUCUUCAGCGGUGAAGUCAGAAGGGGCGUGAGAAGACAUAGUUACUUGAAGCAGAAGGUUACAGCGAUUGAGAAGGGAAGAGUAGGAAAAAUGCUCAUUUUUCUAAAAGACGAAGGUAAAAGUGAAAAUAUAAGGUGACCCUACCACUAUUUAUAGAAGAUAAAGGCGGUUCACCAAAUCCAUCUAGAGCAUCCAAAGGGAAAAGAUCUGACAGUUCAGGCGUUGUGACGUUACGCUUUCAUCUUUUCCCACCCAUUUUUUAUAGUCGUGACACUUCAACUUCCACUUUUCCCGCCAUUUUGCAGGUAUUGGAAGGACGUAACGGUUGAUGUGUCUGUCACGAUCCAUGAGUCCCUAAACCGAUUGGUGGAAACUUAGAAACCCCACGCAAACGUCCAAAGACUUUGUUAGGGCUUAGGGCACUUAUGUUACUAUGGACUCGAAGCUAACUGAUCCAGGAGGAUAGCAAAUUGUAGGGACAAAGCCGAGCGGGAGGAUGUGCCAGAAAGCGUCUUGAGACCGCUCGGUCCCGACAUGCGUUAAGCAGAGUUAAGGCGUAAUUAAUGUCAUAACGGCUACGAUCAAGCGGUUACAAUUUGCAUUGAUGAUCAUUAAGAGGUAAAUUAAUUGGUCAAAUCCUUAUAAACUAUAUAAAUAGGGGUUUACUUUCGAAGUAAACUUUACUUUUUGACUUACUAUUGAAUUACGAAAGAUCUACAGAGAAAAGUUCUUACUUGAGCGUCAGAGUGUAUUCUGCAAGUCACACCCCCUUGAACCGAUCGGUUGGUUGGAGCAUGGAGCAAGGAGAACGUUCGACACAGAAUCGGCACAUGCAAUUAUCCUCGUCCCAUUUCAGCAGAAACAAUAAUGAUAAACAAUUUGUCUUUUCGUUUGCUACAUUUAGUGAUUCCUUUAAUCAUUUCAGAUUUAUAUUUGUAGCUAGAUUUAGUAUUUGUGUCCCAACCGUGUAUAAAAUAAAAUCAGAUUCCAAUCAUUCAUUAUUCUGUUAUUGCUUCCUAAUGCUUGUUUCAGGCUUAUCUCAUAAAGUUUCAAGAGUUGUAUGGAAAUCUAGUUUUUUUUUUUUUUUUUUUAUCAAUGUAGGUCCAAUAAAUAAGAUCACAGGUCUCAGAAAUUUCCCUUUAAAAAUUUUCAAUUACCAACAAUUUUGUGAAAUCAUCAUAUAGUUCAUUGAGAGAACACGGUAAAUCAGCAAAACCAUGUUCACAAAAUGAUGAGUUAUUAUAAUAACAUGUUCACUUGUCCUUUUUCUGUAAUGGUAAAAAUGAACCAGUAAUGUGCAAAACAUUGAACAACGAGCAAUCGCGUGACUAAAUGGCUAAUGUAAUAUGUUAGUGUUUUGUGGUUGUAAAAGAAAUAGUUGAUGGGAUAGAGAAAAUGUAGAGAAAGUGGAAUGUAGAGAAAAUGUGGAGAUAGUGGAAUAUGAAAGUAGUAGUUGGAAGAAUUGUUGUAGUUGACUUUAGUUGUAGUAGAUUUUGACUUACAUGCUUCAAAUGAUAGUACACAUUGGAAUUUAUAGACCCCAUCUCUUUUUCUUGACUAUUCUAGAAAAUUCUAGUUAGAACUUAUGUAGAAAGUUCUAAGUUUUCUACCUAUAUGGAAUGUUCUUGAUUUUUUCUUCCUAUCUUAGGUUUUUCUAUAAUAUUCUAGAAUUUGUAUUAUAUUUCAAUUAUUCUAUCUUAGGAGCUUAUACAUUUUUCUAGAAUUUGCAUUAAACUUUAAUAUUCCUCCUUGAUGUAAAUUCGAUAACUCCCAACAUAGUGCGUCAUAGUUCAAAUUUUGGCCUUGGUAAUGCCUUUGUAAAAAUAUCUGCAAUUUGGUUUUCUGUUGAGCAGUACUUGAGUCAAAUUUGUUUAAUUGUCUCUUCAUCUUGAAUGAAAUGAUAUUUAAUGGCUAUAAGUUUUGUUUCUUGACAAGGGACUAAAUUUUUUGAUUUUGCUAUUGUUGAUUUGUUGUUGCAAUAAAUAAUAGUCGGUCCAUCUUGUGGUUCACCAAUUUCUUCAAGUAUUCUUCGUAGCCAUAUUGUUUGACUCAUGGUUUCAGCAACUACUACAUACUAUGCUUCUAUUGUUGAUUGAGUCAUGGUUGCUUGUUUCUUUAAUGUCCAAGAUAAAAUUGUGUUUAUACUAAUCGGUUUAUAGUCAAAUAGAGUAUUUUUUUUUAUAUUUGGGAUUAAUAUUUUAAUGAUUGAUGAUACUUUGAAAUGCCAAAAUUAUAUUCAUUUGAUACUAAAAUAAUAAUAUUUUCAUUAUAUUUAUAUUAUUUUUUAAAUUAAAAGUGAAAUAUACAUUAUUAUAGGUGUCAAAUGAAUAUAUUUGUAUGAAAGUGACAAAUAAACUUUUUUUCUAUUUUAAUAUGAUCUCAGCGUUUAUAUGUCAUAUUUGCCUGUCUUACAAUAAUAUAUUUUGUUCAAUAUAUCACGUGUUCAAUUUUUUCUUUAAUUUUAUAAAUUUAUUUUAAAUUUUAUUCACUAGUGCAAAAAGGACUUUAGACGUCUGUUAUUUUGGGCUUUUAACGUCUGUUCUCUGUCUGACGUCUAUACGGGUGACGUUAAUGAGACAUUGGACCCUUUAGGCCAGACGUCUCUAUAGACGUCGGACCUAUUUAGGUCAGACGUCUAUAUAGACGUCCGAUCCAUACAAGUCAGACGUCUUUGAGGUUGCUCCUGACUAAUGGUAAUUCGAGUUUACAUUUUAUAUUUUAGUUUAAGAGAAUGUAUUGUAUAUUUUUUUUAAUGGAUGGUUUUAAAAACGUAGUAGAGGGAAUUGGAGAGUGCAAAACGCAAGAAAUCGCCGCUAAAGAACGCCACCCAAGAACACGAGAAUAACUGCACCAAAACCCAACGAAAACGCAUUUUAAUCGGUUCAAAUGAAAGAUAAUGCAUAAAAGAGUGAUGUAGUCAGAGUAAAACUAAUUUAAAACAGUGUAAAAGUGAGAAAACGAACUUGAAAAGCGUAACCCAUAGAGAGAAAAUGCGACGAAUAACUGCACAAAAACCCAACGAAAGCGCAUUGUAAUCAGUUCAAAUGAAAGAUAAUGCAUCAAAAAGUCAUGUAAUCGGAGUAAAACUAAUUUAAAACGGUGCAAAAGUGAGAAAAUGAACCUGAAAAGCGUAACCCGUAGAGAGAAAACGCAACGAAGACGAUAAACAAUUGGUGCGCGUAACAACUACCUUGCGAUCAUGGUGUUUUAAUUCCGACAUUUAGAAGUCGGUUCCCCUAUAACAGACGUCUGAUGGGCUUUAGAAGUCGGUUUCCCCCCAUAACAGACGUCUAAAUGAAGUCAAAAAGUAACUUUUUAAAUUUCUGGGUUUAGGGUUUAGACAUCGGUUCCCACAAUAACAGACGUCUAAAGUGCUGUAGAAGUCAGAUUGGCGGGAUCAGACGUCUAUAUGGAGCCAAAAAGUGACUUUUUAAAUUUUUGAGUAUAGGGUUCAGACGUCGAUUCCCACAAUAACAGACGUCUAAAGUGCUUUAGAAGUCGGAUUGGCGGGAUUAGACGUCUAUAUAGAGCCAAAAAGUGACGUUUUAAAUUUUUGGGUUUAGGGUUUAGAAGUCGGUUCCCCCAAUAACUGACGUCUAAAGUGCUUUAGAAGUCGGAUUGACGGAAUCAGAUGUCUAUAUGGAGCCAAAAAGUGACUUUUUAAACUUUUGGGUUUAGGGUAUUGAAGUCGGUUUUCCCAAUAACUGACGUCUAAAGUGCUUUAGAAAUCGGAUUGGCGGGAUCAUACGUCUAUAUGGAGUCAAAAAGUGACUUUUUAAAUUUCUGGGCUUAGGGUUUAGACGUCGGUUCCUCCAUUAACUGACGUCUAAGGUGCUUUAGAAGUUGGUUCCCCCCAUAACAAAUGUCUAAAUAGAAUAAAAAAUUAUUUUUUAUUAAAUUUUUCGUUUAGUUUUGACGUCUUUUCGGGGGAGCCAACGUAUAUGAGGGCGUAUAGACGUCGGUUAUGAAGGCCUCGAUGUCUAUCAUAUUAUAGACGUCAGGGACCCUCUUAUCUGACGUCUAUAUUGACAACUUAUUUACGAAAGUGCCACCAAUCAUUAAUUUACGUUGGAUCCCCGCUUAACUGACGUCUAAGGGGUGAUGUUAAAAGCCAAUUCUGCAGUAGUGAUUAAGAAAUACACCACUUGUUUUGUAAUUGCGGCAUUGUAGCGACAAAGACGUCCGUGGUAACCCACAAUUUAGAAGACAAAACAUCUCUCAGUGCUAAAAAUAACUUUUUCAUCUGACUACAUUAAAUUCAUCACAAAAUGUUAUGGAUUACGUGACAUUAUUGUUAAAAAUAACUCUUGAUCCAGUGCAUUCCAACUCUCUUGUGUUUGUUAGGUGUUUGAGGAAAUUAUGCAGAGAGAUGUACAAAGUGUAAGACACCAGAGAGAAAACUAGAUUAGUUUUUUUCAUUAACAAUACAAAGUAUAUAUUUAGAGUUUAUUCAGCAGAGGAUAAAAGGAACUGAUUGUCAACAGAAAAUUAAAACAAUUAGAAGUUUAGUUUUUAUUCUUAACACACGCCUUUAAAACUAAACUUUGUAGGGGUUUAACUCCAAGUGAAUCCUUCAAUUUCUCAAACCUAUUUUGCCUUACGACCUUAGUGAAAAUAUCUACAACCUGUUCUUCUAUGGAGCAAUAUAUCAAUUUCAAUUUUCCUUUAUUAACCUAAUCCCUUAGACAAUGAAACUUGGUUUCUAUGUGCUUGUUUCUGCCAUGUGAGAUAGGAUUUCUAGGUAGACUAAUAGCAUACUUGUUAUCCACUAAAAGUUGAAUUGGUUUUCUAUAAUCAAUCUUCAAUUCAUCAAGAAUUUCUUCCAACCAGGCACAUUGGCAAGCAGUUUCAACAGAAGUUAUAUAUUCUGCUUCACAUGAUGAGAGUGCAACCAUAUUCUGCUUCUUAGAACACCAAGAGAUUGAUGCUCCUAUAUACUUAAACAAGUAGCCAUAAGUGUUAUUUCUAUCCACCUGCUCAGCACUCCAAUCCGAGUCACACCAUGCCUCCAAAGCUCCAUCUGUGUUGUCAAACUUCUUGGGAAAGAAAAGACUGAGGUCUGCAGUUCCUUUCAAGUAACGCAAAAUGUGUUUGGCUACAGUAAAAUGAGUCUGCCUUGGAUCAUGCAUGAAUCUACUAACUAAACCAACUCCAUAAUUGAUGUCAGGCCUGACAUUACAGAUAUACCUGAGUGACCCUACUAUUUGUUUGAACAAAGUUGCAUCCACCUUACUUUCUUCCUCCUUGUUAGACAGCUUCAGAUUUGCCAUUACUGGAAUUGAAGUGCAAUUGUAGUCUUUCAUAUUAAAUCUUUUCACUUCACGGUUAGCCACCAUAUCUCUUUCAUUCAAGGUUGCACCUUCGCCAAACGGUUGAAGCCGUCACUGCUCGCUAAUUCGAAACCACGUUAUCGAGAACAGUAGUUGCUUUUUGUAAGAUCCUAGGAAAUGUGGUAAUUUGGGAAUAAUGUAGUUAUGAGACUUGAACAUUAUUGUUUAAUAAUUGGUGUUUGAUGAUUAAAUGUUUUCUAAAAUUAAAAUUAUUAUGUUUAUUAUUUAAUGUUAUUAUUAAUUAAGUGAAACAUAUGAUUGUUAUAUUGUUAUUUGAAUGAUUUGUGUAAUGUAUUGUUAUUAAUAUGAUGUGUUGGAUUGAGGGUAGAAGGAUAAUUUAAGAUUGAAUAGGUGUGAGCCAAAUUCUAGAAAGAAAGAGAGUUAAAGUAAACUUUUGGGUUUUAAUUUGUAUUUUGGACCCAAGGGCAAAAAGGUCAUUUUAUCCUCAUUAAUUAGUGCAAAAAUUAAGUUAUGGGGGUGUAGAAAGUAUAGGAAAGGAAAAUAAAUCCAAUAUUAAAAGAUUUGGUGGUUGUUGAUAUUAUUUUAAUUAAAAAGAUAAAGAUAGAAUAAGAAAAGAUAUAAAGGAGGAAGGGAAACUAGGAUCUCAUAAUUUUAACCUAUAUAUCUAAAACGUAAAAGAAAGAGAUAGGGAAAGAGUGAGGGUUUUGGGAGAGAAGAGGAAGAACUGCAAAAACCUUAGAGAUUGGUAGUGUUUUAGAGUGUGACAAAGUACUAGGAUUUACCAGGUGUGGGAAACUUAUCUUUGUUUGUGAAUUAUUGUAUGUUAUAGACAUGUCAAACAUAGCGAAGUGUUAAACAUUUUAAAGUUUUUGGAAGCGUGGCUUAUGGACAUGUCCUAAGUCAACCCAAAAUGAAACUUGAUGACAAUAAAGCAAGAAAUAUGUUUUCAUUGGCUAUGAUGAACAGACAAAAGCUUACAAGCUGUACAAUCCGGUUUCAGAAAAAAUUCUGGUAAGCCGAGAUGUCAGGGUAAAUGAAAAUAGUGAAUGGAAUUGGGUUGACUUAAAGGAAAAGCCUUCUUAAAGCAUGAUUUCUAGUGGAGAGGACUCAAAUAUUAAUACUAGAUGUCUGGAGAUCACAUAUGAAAGGGUGAAUGAACAUGAUUAAAAAUUAGACGAUCCUAUAAGGCCAAAAUUUUGGAGUCUAAAUGACAUUUGUAACUCCACUGAUGAGGUACAUGUAGUAUAUCUGUUGACAGGUGCAGAAGAUGAAGAAUUUAAAGCUGUCAACAUCAUUUCAAGAAUUAAGAAAGUUGAUCGGCAUGGAGGAAGAAAAAAAUUUAGGUUUAUGGGAGAACUUUGUUAAAUAAACUUAAAUUAAAAAAAGAAUUAAAAGUGCAAGUUUCGAUUUUGUUGGUUUCAAGAGAUAUUUUUCACUUGUUUAGUUUUUAUAUUUUUGUACGUAACAGUUUUAAUUCUUUUUUAUAAGGCUAUUAUAAUGGCCUUGUUCAAUUAAUGAAUAGCAUAAUAUAUUUCAGAAAAAAAAUAUUUUUCGUGCGUGAGUAUUUGAAGGUCUUUGUGUGCUAAUACUUGUCUCACUUUAAUUAGCCCCUUGUUAAUUAUAAACACUUGUCCGUAAUUGAAGUUAAAACAGGCUGGCAUGGAAGGAAACUUAUUAGCAUGGAGAGAUUAAAAAAAAGGUUUAAACCUCUUUUUGGUCCCUAAGUUAUAAGCGGAUGUUUAGUUUAGUCCCCGUUUUUAAAAAUGUAAAUCUUUGGUCCCUAAGUUAUAAAAAAUGUAUCAAAUUAGUCCCUAAACGGUUGAGAAGUAUGUGUUGAUGGAAAAUGACCAAUUCCAAAUUGUCACAGUUCUAAAUAGUGAAUAGAUGAAUAUUUUUUAACCGUUUAUUCAUUUGAUAUUCAAUGAUGAAAACUAUUGAAUAUUGUGUAUAGGGUGGAAUCUAAACUCUAAACUAUAAUUGGAAGGGCAAAUGCUAAUUCCACCAACUUUCGUUAAAGACAGUAUUGUGCGUCAAAGUUUUCAAGGAACGGUAAUUAAAUAAAAAUUCUGGCUGGGUGAUUAUUCGGUGAAAAGGACAUCAAUUCACCUUGAGAGUGAGACAGAAAGGGGAAAGAAGGAAAGAGAAAAAUAUUCCAUUUUAAUAUGAGGCUACCUUUAGGUGCUAUUUCACUAGACUUUUUACUGUAAUACAUGUUGUAAUAAUGUCUUUGAUGAAGAAUAGACCCUAUUUUAGUCUAUUACAUGUUUACAUGUAUUAUUUAAAAAAGGUUUAAAUCAUUUUUUGGUCCCUAAGUUAUAAGCUGGUGUUCAGUUUAGUCCCCGUUUUUAAAAAUGUAAACCUUUGGUCCCUAAGUUAUAAAAAAUGUAUCAAAUUAGUCCCUAAACUGCUAAGAAGUAUGUGUUUAAAAUCAUGUAAGGACAACUUUGUAUCAUGUAAGCAUGCAAAUAUUUCAGAUCACCCAUACAUCCACCAAAAAAUCAGUCCCAACUGUUAAGGAUUGAGACUGAUUUGAUACAUUUUUUAUAACUUAGGGACCAAAGGUUUACAUUUUUAAAAGCGGGAACUAAACUGAACACAAGCUUAUAACUUAGGGACCAAAAAGGGAUUUAAACCUUUAAAAAAUCUUUUCCCACUUGCUUCAACUUCAUCUUGUCAACCCUUUCACUGUUUGCUAUUUUCACAAUUCACUUCCUUUUUAGAAAGAAAAAAAUAGUUAGGAACGUUGGAAUAUAUUAAUUGGCAACAGGAAAAAGAGUAAACAAUUGGAUUGCAACGUCCUAAACAACGAUCAAAAUUUUUAAAGUGCUUCAAUGUUAAUUAUUUUGCUUUUAUUGCCUUUUAUUUCUUUUAUUCUUUCCUAGCUCUCUAUAAAUAGAGAGUCUUUAUCCCCUAUUCCAAGACAUACUAAAUUCAGUCUUUCUCAUUCUUCUCUUUUUUGAGUUACAUUUUUUAGCUCUUUUCCUCUUUUAAAAGUAUUAUAGGUUAUUUUUGUACUCUUUUUAAAGAUCCUUAUUAGUUCUGAGAUCCUCAGAGAACACCGCAGAUAAGUCCUUAAGGGCAAUGACUCUACACGCCUCAGGAAAUACUGUCUUGUCAGUUUUUUACAACAAUCUUAAAGACUUAUUACUAACAUCAACAAUAUGCCUUCGGACAACCAAACCUUUGUUCCCGAAAACCAGACGAUCUUCACAAAAUCACUUUCGGACAUGUCGAAAGUCGACGUUUUCUCCGAACAGAACUUCUAGCGCUGGCAAGAAUGUGUGUCCACCCUUUUAAACAUGUAUGGAGUUCGUGCUACUCCCAAAAGGUACGUACACAAACCUGAUCACAAAAUGAAAAAUAAUUUUCUUAAAUCUCGUCCCAAUGAAUCUAAACCCACCUGACAUAGAGUAAGAAACGACAAUCCUCCUAGAAAAAAUAUAGUCAAAGGAGAUGCCAUUAUUGCUGCAGUCGUUUCUCAAGUAAAUCUGAUGACCAAUGUGAGCAAAUGGGUGGUAGAAUUUGGUGCUACCAGACAUAUCUAUGCAAACAUAAGUGCCUUUACCUCUUACACUAGUGUAGGGGAUGGAGAAGAACACGUCUACCUCGGUGGUUCCAACACCACUCCUGUUCUGGGAAAAGUAAAAGUUGUUCUCAAACUCACAUAUGGAAAAACUCUGGCCUUGAGUGAUGUGCUACAUGUGCCAUCAAUCAGAGUUAAUUUAAUAUCUCUAGCACUAUUUGGAAAGGUGGGGGUUAAAGUGUUAUUUGAGUCUAACAAGAUUAUUAUGACAAAAAAUAAUGUUUUCGUGGGGAAGGGAUAUCAUGAUCAAGGACUUUUCAUUCUAAAUGUUUCUGAAAAAUAUUAAUGAAUCGAGUUCUUCUGCCUAUAUUAUUGACUCGUAUGAUAUAUGGCAUACUAGAUUAGGACAUGUGAAUUCCUUGUAUGUUUUGAAAUUACAACGAUUAGGAUUGAAUAAUAUGUACGAUAAACAAAGUAGUGAACGUGAUAUAUGUAUAAAAGCUAAAAUGACAAAGAAAACAUGUUUUUCUGUAGAACGCCAAACUGAACUGUUAGGGGUAACUCAUACUGAUCUAGCUGAUUUAAAAUAAACCAUGUCUAAAGGAGUUAAAAAUUAUUUUGUGACCUUUAUAAACGAUUAUUCUAGAUACACCAAAGUUUACUUAAUCAAACAUAAAGAUGAAGCCUUUAAUGUUUUUUUAACCUAGAAAGCAUAAGUAGAAAAUCAAUUGAAUAAUAAAAUUAAAAGGAUUAGAUCAGAUAAAGGUGGGGAGUAUGUUUUGUUUAAUGACUAUUGUGUUAUAGAAGAGAUUAUCCAUGAAGUGACCCCACCAUAUUCACCCGAGUCUUAUCGAGUAGCUGAGAGAAAAAUUAGAACCCUUAAGGAAAUGAUGAAUGUUAUGCUUGUUAGUUCUGGUGCACCUGAUAACCUUUGGGAAGAAGCCUUGCUUACUGCAUGUUUUUUACAAAAUAGAAUACCCCAUAAGAAAAUUGGUAAAACUCCUUAUGAGUCGUGGAAAGGUUACCAACCUAACCUUAAAUAUCUAAGAUUUUGGGGGUGCUUAGCUAAGGUGAUGUUACCCGAUCCUAAGAAAAGGAAAAUAGGCUGUAAAACCUCUGAUUGCAUGUUCUUAGAUUAUGCUGAACAUAAUGCUGCUAUAGGUUUCUAGUAGUAAAAAGUAACAUACUUGAGAGAAACUCUAUAAUAGAGAUGAAAAAUGCUGAUUUUUUUGAACAUGUGUUUUCCUUAAAGGUUAGUGAGAUGUCUCAACCCGUUGAUGAUAAUAAUAGUAAUAGUGAUACCAUGAAUGAGAAUUUAAGAAGAAGUAAAAGACAGAGAAAGGAAACUUCCUUUGGAGAUGACUUUUAUACUUAUCUUGUUGAUAGUGAUCCAACAAGCUUUGUAGAAGCUACUAGUGCUCCUGAUGCAAAACAGUGAGAUAAGGCCAUUAGGACUGAAAUUGAAUCAAUUCAGAAAAACAGUACUUGGACUUUAGUAGAUUUUCCUAAAGGAGAAAAACUCAUUGGUUGUAAGUGGAUUUUUAAGAAAAAGUAUCAUCCUGAUGGAUCCACAGAGAAGUAUAAGGUAAGAUUAGUAGCAAAAGGUUUUACUUAAAAACCAAACAUAGAUUACUUUGAUACUUUUGCUCCUAUGACUAGGAUUUCCUCUAUUCGAGUGUUAUUAGCUUUAACAACUAUCCAUAAACUAGUGAUACAUCGGAUGGAUGUUAAAACGUCCUUUUUGAAUGGUGAUUUAGAGAAAGAAAUUUAUAUGGCUAAACCUGAAGGGUGUGUUGUACCCGAUCAAGAGGACAAAGUAUGUAAACUCUUAAAAUCCUUGUAUGGGUUGAAACAAGCACCAAAACAAUGGCAUGAAAAAAUUGAUUAUGUGUUGCUUUAUGAUGGUUUUUCACCUAAUAAUGUUGAUAAAUGUGUGUACUCUAAAUCUGAAAAUGGUGAUUAUGUCAUUAUAUGCUGUAUGUGGAUGACAUGUUAAUCUUUGGUACAUGCAAUGAGAUUGUCACUAGAACUAAAUUGUUUCUAGAAUCAAAAUUUGAAAUGAAAGACAUGGGUGAAGCCAAUGUGAUUUUAGGUAUUAGAAUCAUAAGGAAGGGAGAUAGUAUAUUACUAUCUCAAGAACAAUACAUUGAGAAACUUCUUAAGAAGUUUGGAUUUUAUGACCUGAAACCAGUUAGUACCCCUUAUGAUGAUGAUUCUAAAUUAAUUAAAAAUAAAGGAGAAUCAUUAUCUCAGCCUCAGUAUGCCUAGAUAAUUAGGAGCUUGCUACACUUUGUGAGCUUUUCUAGACCUGAUAUUGCUUAUGCAGUAGGUAGACUGAGUAGGUACACUCAAUGUCCAAAUCAGGAACAUUGGGAUGCACUUGCUAGGCUUAUGAGAUACUUAAGAGGUUCAAUGGAUUAUGCCAUUGAAUAUAGUGGAUUUCCCACUGUACUAGAAGGGUACAGUAAUGCUAACUGAAUCUCUGAUUCAGAUGAGACAAAAUCCACUAGUGGUUAUAUAUUCACACUUUGAGUUUGUUGCUCUUAAGAUGGUUGGUAAUAAGGUUGAGUGGUUGAAAAACUUCUUAGCGAACAUUCCACUAGGAAUGAAACCAACCCCAUCGGUAUCAAUAAGCUGUGAUUGCUAAUCGGCAAUAGUUAUAGCUGAAAAUAAGAAUUACAAUGGAAAGAAUAGACAUAUACAAUUGAGACACAAUUUGGUGAAGCAGCUGCUAAAGAGUGGAACUAUUUCCAUUGAUUAUGUGAAGUCAGAACGAAAUCUAGCAGAUCCUCUAACAAAACCCUUGGGAAGACAAAUGAUAUUAGAAAUAUCGAGGGGAAUGGGACUUAAGCCACUUGCAAAUAAACAAGUGAUGGUAACACAACCUUUGUGAUUGGAGAUCCCAUGAAUAAGGUUCAUAUGGGUAAAAACAAGUCACUUGUUAGUUCUGAUAGCACUAAAUUGAUUUUAAUCAAUUAUGUCCCUUCCUAUGGUGUGUGUGAAAGUGCUAGAGACUACAUUAUUGAGAGGUUAAACUUUGUCAUUAAAAUUUUAUGUGCUAAAGGAAUUUUAGUUUAAACAAAGUUCUUAAUGAUUUUCAUAUCCCUUAUGGGUUGUGUAUGAUUUGCAACUUGAUAAAAUCACCUAUAUGAGUGUCGAGUGGGGCUGUUUGCAUGAGAUCUUGGCAUGAUCUCUAGAGCACUCAUGAAUAUCGGGCAUGCACAUGCCCUUGUAAGCGCAACACAACUAUAAUAGCAAGGAUUGUGAGGGUGUAUUGUGAUUGAUAAACCUCUAACACAUGUUAAGUGUCUUUGGUUCAUAUAGCUUGUUAUACCAACUACACUGUGUGUUAAGUAUCUCAAUCUAAGACUGGUUCAUAUAGCUUGCUAUACCAGCUUUGAUGCAUUACAUCCUAUGAGACCCAGAAUAAAAGUUUCUUAUCUUUCUUUAAAUGUUUGAACUAUUUGAGUCAAAGACUUUCUUUCAACUCUCUUUUGCAAUAUGUAGGGGAUUGUUAUAAUAUAUUAAUAUUAUAUUGCAAAAGUUAAAACAUUAAUGUGGAAAGUUUGUUUUGAACGUUGGUAUAUAUUAAUUGACAACGGGAAAAAGAGUAAACGUUGGAUUACAACGUUCUAAAAAUUCAUUGAGCAAUGAUCAAAAUUUUUAAAGUGCUUCAAUGUUAAUUAUUUUUCUUUUAUUGCCUUUUAUUUCUUUUAUUCCUUCCUAGCUCUAUAAAUAGAGAGUUUUUCCCCCAAGACACACCAAAUUUAGUCUUUCUCAUUCUUUAGCUCUUUUUCUUUUUUAAAAAUAGUCUGGGUUACUUUUAUAUUUUUUUAGAGAUCCUUGCUAGUUCUGAGAGUGCGCAAUAUAUCACGGAUAAGUCCUAAAGGACUGUGACUCUACACGCUUCAGAAAACACUGUUUUGUUAGUUUUUUAGAACAUACGUGCGCAGGAUAUUGUACAUAAUUAAUAUACUUGUUGUCCAUUAUAUACAAUUUUAAAAGGAUUAAACAACACAUAUCUUUUAUCCAUUCAAAUAUUCGCAAUGUCUUAUUUUGAAUCCACUCUUGUAUCCUUUCUUAUGGAUCCACUAGUGCAAAAACGCUGUUUAACGUCGGUUAAUUUGGGCUUUUAACGUCACUUUUACAACCGACGUCUAAACGGGUGACGUCUAUGGGACGUCGAAAUUUGUCAGAACCGACGUCCAUAUAAACCUUAGUUAACGAUAUCCACCGACAUCUAUAUAGACGUUUGCUUUUACUCAAACCGACACCUAUAUAGACGUCCACCUAUGAUUAAACCGACGUCAACUUGAAUAUAUAAAGAGGUUUAAAAUGACACUAACCGACGUCUACGAUGUUAUAGACGUCGGGCAUGGAUUUAACCGACGUCUAACAACGACUUUCUGUUUUAGUGCAGUUUUGAUCCAGACUUUUCGAUAGCAUUGUGCAACACUCUCCUGUCGAUAGUUUCCCCACAAAAAAAGCUUGCGUCUUUUGAAUCUUCUAGUUCUUUCAACCCAAAACCGAACCUGGGUCCAUGGCUACUUCCAAGUAUUCAACCGCAACAGAAAAAAAUUACGGUGUCGAGAAGUAGACAAGGACCCAAGUUCCAUUUUGGGUCAGAAGAACUAGAAAACUCAAAAGAUCGCCACUCUUUUAGUGAGGAAACCAGCAAAGGGAGAAUGUUGCACUAUGUUACCGAAAGAAUGGAUCAAAACUGCACUAAAACACAACACAAAAAAAAUUUUAAUCAGUUGAACGACAAGAUAAUUGAUAAAAAACUAAAGAAAGUUUAAAUGGUAAGCAUAAGAAAAAACCACACACCUGGGAUGAAGAGAGAAAAAGGAGAGGACGAAGACAAUGACGUUAUGAAAAAAUACAAUGCAAUGCCAGAAGAGAUAAAAAAUAGAGGUGCGCAGGGGAGUAAAAGAAGAGGAGAACCAGAGAAAAAGGAGAAGAGAUGAAGACGCGAUCAGAAGGGUCUGCGGUUUAUUUAAAAUUAAAUUGGGCGUCGAUUGCGCCAGAAACUGACGUCUAUAGACGUCAGUGUUUGAUCGGGAUCUGACGUCUAUUCUUCUUAAAGAAGUUGAAAAGAUUGACGCUUGAUUUCCUGUCAAGGUAAUUCACGUCGAUGCCCCUCCUAGUCGACGUCUAAAACCCUCGAAUUUGGUGAAAAUAAUCAAUUACAGGAACGUAGACGUCGAUUACGUUCUGAACCGACGUCUAAAUUUAAGGAUUUUUUAUCUUUCCGCCUUCCAGAUAGGCCUUAGACGUCGUCGUUUGACUACGUGACGUCUAAGCGCCUGGGAAUUAGGUGAACAACAUUAAUUGUAGCCCCAGUCGACGUCGCUUGUUCAGGGGAUCUGACGUCUAUUCCUCGUCUGAAGCUGAAUCGUUUGAUGUUUGAUUUCCUGUCAGAGACUGGCACAUCGGUGCCCUUUUCUAGACGACGUCGAAUUGUCUGUCUUAUCACAUACCUCAGGCAAUUUGACGUCGGUUUGAGGUAGGUGCGACGUCUGUCAUGUCAUAGACGUCGCCUAACAUCGAAACGGACGUCUAGUUUACCAAUAUAUUUACGAUAAUGCCACCGUGCAAUAAUAGACGUCGGUUUAUCACGAAUUCGACGUCUGAUGGGUGACGUUAAAUAGCGUUUUUGCACUAGUAAUCAAACCAAUCACAAUAAAAUAAUAUAAUCUUCAUUUUAGCCGUUGAGAAAUUGUGCACAAACUCAUACAUGUGUUUAAUCAUACCAUAGAAAUAAUUUUCACAUCUUUCUCUAAGUCCUUUAACAUGAAUCCAGUUUAUCGUUCUCUUGUCCUGAAUCUAUAUAUGCAUAUGAAAUUUAUAUCCAUUCACAAAAAAUGUGUGUCAUUUUUUUACACAUCUUAAAGAAUCAAGUGAUAAAUCUUUAAGAUGUUGAUUCUUCACACUUGAACGUUAAAAAAGGAUGAGAGUGCACUGUGUGUCGACAUCGGAAACAGUAGAAAAUGAAUCGAACUUGUAUAGGAAGUGAAAUGGUCAAACCUUUUUAACCUUGGUGAUUUUUAAUAAUAGUUAUUGCAUAAAAUCGUUGUUAUUUUGCUAUAGUAAGUAUUUAACGAAAAUUACAGAUUAAAUCCUCGUCAUUUUUAAAAUAUGUAACAACGGUUAACUGUUGAAUUAUCGUUAUUUCACUAUUUUGGACUUGUAACGACAAUUAAUUUAGGAGCUACCAUUAAAAAAAUCACAUUAAAUACAGUGCUAUCACAUUCUUAUUCUACUAGACCAACUUAAUAAAUAUUCAAUGUCGUGGUAGGACAUUUUUACUAGUAAGAUUUCGUUUUAAUUACUAUUAAUAAAAUUAAUUUUUUUUAUUAAGAUUAUAAAUUUUGGUUAUAUACUAAAAUUAAAUAUAUCAAUAUUUAUUAUAUGAGACGCAAUAAUGUGAUAAAAAAAGCUAUUUAAUUAUCUUUAAAUUAUAUUUUAUUUUAAGGUGAGAUAAAUAUCUAAGAAAUGUAAAAUUGAAAUCUCACUUGAUACAAAGCUAAAUUACAUAUUAUUUCAAAGAUUGAGAUGAAAAAGGAUAUGAUAUGUUAACAUUCUUUUUAAUAAUUUUUUGACAAUAGAAUAUGUAUCACUAUCUUAUUUGUCUAUUUAAAUUUAUUUUUAAGAAAAUAUUUAAAACAGAAAAACUACCACAUAUACAUUGUAAAAAAAUUGUCAAAAUAAAUUGUUAAAAAACUUUUUCCGAUUAGAAAUAAUAUUAAUUUUUUUUAUGCAUUUGACAUGUCAUAUGUAGUAAAAUACUUUUGAAAGUUCCAUCCAUUGAUAACAGAAAAUUAAACUCAGAGAGAAAACAUACAGAAAUAUUAUUUCUUCUCGUGAACUCGUUUUGUAGCCGUUAGACACUAUGGAUAAACCUCAAUAAUAGACACUAAUCCCACAGUGGGAGUAAUCUUGUAGUUACUAAAACCAGCAGAGAGAAUUAGGUUGGCCCACUCUUUCUCGUAUCUUUCUUUUCCAGCGAACAACAUCAUCAUGUACAUAUCAAAGAAAAAUUGCGCCUCAGUCAAUUCAUGGUCUUCCUUCUUAUUCUCCAUCACAAUGUCUAUGAUAAGAACCCUCCCGUCGCUAGCUAUUGCCUCCUUGCAAUUUUUCAGUAUUUUCACACAUUCCUUGUCCUUCCAGUCAUGCAAUACCCACUAUUUGAUUGUCACAAAGUAAAAAAGGAUAAGAAUCAAAAAAUUAAAAACGGAUAAUCAACUAUGUCUAUAUGAUUCAUAUUCGUUUUUUUUUUUUCUCUACUAUGAAUUUAAGCUGUAAUGUUUGUAUAUGAGGCCCUACUUUCGGUUUUUUGAUAGGUUUGUAUUAUAUUUAUUCUAGAGGUUACUCAUUUGUCAUUAUGGACAAUCCUUCUAUGCCCCCAUUAAAAUAAAGGAUUUUAAUACGUGAAUCUAAUUAAAACACGUCAUCUCUCUCCCUGUCGAUCUGGGUUUGGUGAGCUUUUGCUUUUUGGAUCAUCUUCUUCCCAAUAUAAAUCAAUCAAUGUGGUACCCUCCUAUUUUUGUUCCCAUUGGAUUUACCUUGUUUACAUGUCGAUCCUAUGGCAGCAAGAAAAAAAAGGGGGCCUAUUGCUAUACUCUAGUAAUCUCUUUCCUACCGACGCAACCCCGUCAUGUCCUAAAUCAUAUUCCGUAGACCAGAAUGGGUUUGCAGAACGUUUAAGCACUGUAUGUGGCUGGUGGAAGAGACACGACCUUACUAAUGGAUGGAGAUGGAGGUGGAUGAGGGUGAAGAGGAUUGGAUGGCAAGGAGUAGGUUAUCGGAGUUAAACUGAAUCACUAAUGGUGAAGUAAUUUUGAACCAAUCACAAAAUAACACAUUAUAUUAAAAUGUUAUUCAAAAAAUGUUGUUAAAGUAUUAUUAUUCUUAUUUAAAAUUAUAAAAAGUGUCACAUCAUUUAAAAUUAUUACACUCAACAUGUUUUUAUUGGAUUAAUGUGAAAGGUACCAAAGUCCCUCUUCUUUACAAAGGAAACCUUCUCUUGUCAUUGUUAGUAAGUGUUAACCUAAGGUGAUAUAUGAAAGAGAAACCAUAAGAGGGCUUAUUGAUGUAUGAAGUAACAACAAAGAGCAUUUUAUGAUAAUAAAUAUAUAGAGCAAGGGAGAGAGAAGGAAUAAUAGAUAUAUUUACCUUCAACAUAAUAGAACCAGCAUGAGGAAUUGCUUCUAACAUGUCUCCUCCGACAUAUUUUAUGUUCUGAGUUUCUUCCAAGCCUGCAACAACAUGUGGCAGAUCAAAUACAAUGCACUUUACAUGUGGGAAGGACUCAACAAUGACCUUAGCCAUUGUCCCUGUUCCUCCUCCAACAUCAACCAAUGAUUCUAUUCCCUCGAACAAUCUCUUAUACUUCUCAAUCACCACAUUGGAAACCAAUCGACUGUCCAUAGCCAUGACUUCAUUGAAAUGGUUAUUUAUAUUAGGCUCACGUCCAGCAAAAUCCCAAAAUCCCAUACCAUUUUCACUGUGAAACGGUGAAGGGGUUUCAUUCGUGAACCAGGUAGAGAAUUGAAACCAUGGAUUCAUCAUAACUGGAUUAAAUAUUAAUUGCGUCACAGGUUUCAUACUAAAGGGAUGGUCCUUUAGGAGUAACAU
rnacentral:lncRNA from 1 species